UUCAAGAAGAUGCGUUUGACAGGCCAACCAUGUCGGCUGUCAAUGUGAUGCUCAAAAGGGAUGCUGUAAUUCUCCGUCAACCUUUCAAACCUGCCUUCUCGGUUGGCAGAUUCACUCAUCAUUCCAAUGGACGUGUUGAAGACGAUAAUUGUUCUGUUAAUAGCUUGACAGUUUCCGCUGUGGCACCUCGGUGAGAAAAGUCUACCCUAGGAGAUAAGCACGGUUCUUUGCCCAAGUAUACUGCUUGGACAUGGUAACGUCUACACUAGUUACUCAUUAAAGAACCGAUUCUUAACCAUAAGCUGUUUAAUCAUGUCAUGUUGUCUAUCUUGGCUUGGAAGACUUCACGUCGAGGACCUUAUCAUUCUCCAACCUUCCUCGUUCAUUUUCACGUCUCUUGAGCUGGAAAUUAAAGCUCCUUAUGUGAAUCCAUGUUCUCCUAGCAUAAGACGGAAAAAAAAGAAAAAAAAAAAAAAGAGUUAGUCUAUGCCCUAGAUACGGUUAUCUCAUUGUGCUCAUUGUGCUAUGAGUUCUCACUGAACUAUGUCCAAUCUUUGUGCGGUUUAAUCUAUCCUCUCUAUUUGUAGAGUCAAUAUCAUCAUUAGGAUUUUUAGUCAUUCUGUCUUUUGUCAUAUAUGCAAUCAACGCCAUCAUCGCAUCAUUUCUUGUCAUUCUUAUUGAAUUCGAAAGAAUAACUCACUCUCUUUCUCAACAAAAGAAAAUGGAACCAAAAAAAAUUAAAAAAAAAAAAAAAAAAAGACGUCGGUUGAGAUAGCAGUCUCUUGACAACUCACUCUCUGUGGUAAACCAUAAGUAAAGCUAAAGCUAAUCACACGCGGGAUAUUUGCUUGGAUAUGUUGGCAUUAAAGCUAGGUUCAAAAUCUUGUGCUUGCGUAUUUGCGAGAAGCUUGGAAUUUGGCUUUGCACUAGCAAAAUGUUCGUGAUACAAAUUCCAUUACAGGUAUGACAUUUGAGUUCUGAUAAAAGGGUAAAGAGGGAUACUUUUACUGAUUAAGAUUGAGAGGCUGUUUGGUUGUGAAUUACUCAGUAUGAUGCUACCUUGCUGUGAAUUCGCUCUCUCCAAGGCGCUCGAGCUCCAUUACUAACAUACUGAGGGCCAACCGGACUUAUGCAUCAAGUUUAAUAAUGCGACCUCUCAAAUCCACAUGAAGAGGGGGCCAUUAUUUACUAUAUAAGAAAUAAUAUAUAUAGCCAAACUUCGUAGAAGACAUCGUACAGAACAACGAUAAGUCAGGUGAACUCCAAGUAAUUAAACCAAAGUUGACAAAAGAGCCGCGCACAACGCUUCACUUCGCUGUGUUUUUACCACCCGACGCUUUUUCACUCUUGGCGCAAUCAGCAACUUGCAUCGAAGUUCGAGGGGCUCCCGUGCAGCCCAUCCCGGCUUGUGUCCUUUCCCAUGGUUGGCACACAUUUCCAAGUUGAGCAUUGAAGCACUUCCAUCUAUGUACUUGACCCGUCAUGCUCGAAUAAAAAUGGCAUUCGCGUGAUGUAUUUUAACAACCUUCUCAUGCCAAACAGACAAAUUCAAAUAGCAUGACCUCUCCAGUAGCAUCCGUUAGCAGAUCAGACAGGAGAAAAGACUACGGCCAAAAACAGGGGUCGAGGCACACGAAGUCUCGGGAUAUUUAAUGACUCUCCUUCGAGCGGAAACGAAGUCAAGCGAGUGUUAAAAAUCCUAGCCGUCACUUUUGAAAAGCAUGUCCACUAAAGACCAUGUUAAAGGACUAUUGCCUUCUUCUUGUCCAAAAGAAAAAAGAAAAAAAAGGACUAUUGCCUUUUCUCACUGGCUUUGCAAGUCGUCUACGCUAAACCCAGACGUGGGACUCACAUAAAGCCAAAAAAUAACGAAGGGUCUUUGGAUAAUCCUAAGUUUUUUUUUUUAAUUAAUUUAACUUGGACAUGUAUUAAGAUGAAUUUGGAUAAUGUUCUUUCACUUUAGAAGGAAAGCUAAAAUCCUGUUGGUCUAAUUCCAUUUCAGAAAAAUGAAAUAUUCUUGGUCUCCUAAGUCUUUCAUCUUAUGUCAUCUUCAAGAUGCAGCAGAGAAGCUUCUCUUUGCUUUCUUGCCAGGAAAAGUAAAACAAAGAACUCUCUUUCGCUGCAAUUUUAUGAUAAUUCCACUCUUGACCAGCUUGAAAAUUCUCUGCCCACUUUCACUAUUUUGAAUUUUCACCAUGCGAUGGACCUUUCUACUUCAGAGGAAAUUUCUUCCCUCGUUGUUUAUGGAAACAUUCCCAGUUAGUGCCUUCUCAUGGGUCUAGAAUUGCUGUUUCGACCCAAGAAGAUGGCACGAGAUUCGAAUCUUGUCACCUUUUUCCUGUUCGUAACAUCGAUUUUGUUUCUUGUCACACCCAUUAAUGGAAACAGUCCUCUGCACGUGCUUUGCGAACCUAAAAAUGGCAAUUACACUUUCGGCAGUCCAUUCAGGAAUAACCUCGAACAGCUUCUGGGCAAUUUGGCUUCCAACACCGCCAAGAAAGGCUUCCACAGCAGUUUUGCUGGGGAUGGCAGUGAUGAAGUAUUUGGUCAAGCACUUUGCAGGCGUGAUGUGAAUAGGAGUGCUUGUGGGGAUUGCGUCAGGAUUGCAAGCCAAGAGAUCAUGAAUAAGUGCAAUGAGAAAGAUGCUGAUAUUUGGUAUGAAUAUUGCCAGAUAUCUUAUUCUUAUAGUAAUUUCUUUUCUGCGAUGAAUUACCUGGGACAGUACCCAGAUAGUAAUAAUCAGAAGAAGAACGUAUCUGAUCCGGAAGAGCUGAGCAGUGCCCUGAUCAAGUUGAUGGAAGAUCUUAAAAGUAAGGCCCCAUGGGCUUCGUCCAUGUUUGCAGUGGGCAGUUCAAACUUUUCGAGCCAAGGACAUGUUUACGGCCUCGUGCAGUGUACAAGAGGAAUCUCUGGCAGUGAUUGUAAUAAAUGUUUGGUGUCAGCUUGGGGGGAUCUGAAAACAUGUUGCUCUCCUCAUCAAGGUGGAACCAUUGUCAGCAGAUAUUGCAACGUGAGGUUCGAGCUUUACCACUUCUAUAAUCAGUAUUCUGAAGGUAAUUAAUUCGGAUUCUUUUCUUAGACUGUGUUGUUGGUCGCGGAGUAUCGAUGCCUGUUGAAAUUAGAAAUUAGAUCUGGAAAACUACCAUUGAAGGUAUCUUUUGUAUGUUUCCCGGUUUGAGAGUUUUAUGGAAACAGCCAGAUGAAGAAUUGCACAUAUCAUAGUAACAAAAUCCAGUUAAAAGUUGUCAACUAACCAUGAGUUUACUAUUCGGGGAGAAACAGAGCUGUUCACGAGGAAUGAGCAUUACUGAAGCUCAGUCAUCUAAGUGAGGAUAGUAAAAUCAACUAUGCAUGAGGAAAUCCUUUGUUUCCAUGUGAUUCAUUCUAAAUAAAUAACUUUUCAGAUGAAAUUUCUCGUAUUGAGUUUUUAUUGAAUGUAAUGGAUCAGAAUUCACCUACUUAUAAUAGAUUAAGUACAAAAUACGCAAGAUAUAAAUUUUUUGGUGGAAAUUUUUUUUACAACAGAGUUUCUAUGACAACAAAAGGAUUGGAUUGGCCCAAUGAUCGACCAGCUGUCGUAAAGCAUUUUACUGACCUGAUUAGAUUCCAAAACAUUUGGUAAUCCUUUAUUAGUCGGCUUGAUGAAAAGUCCUGUUGGAAAUCUUGAUUCUUGAGCUGAUCCUAACUGUUUCUAUUAUUUUUGUAGUCAGUAAAAUUUCCUUGCUGACUGCUCGAGUACUGCUCGAGUUCUCUCUGUGGGAGUUGGAAAUUGGAUUUUUAACAUUUCUUAAUUAUUUGAUAAAGACAUUGUAGGCUUGGGGAAGGAAAAAAUAAUUUUGUUGGUCAUAUGUAUUCUGGCUGGGACAUUGCUAGCUUCCCUUGGGAUUUGUGUUGCCCGUCAAAGACGAAAAAGGAGAAUGACCAGAGGUAUGUCAAACAAGUUAGUUUCAGUUGCCAACUGAUAUCUUGGACAUUGUUGAUGACAAGAAUUCGGAUCUUCGUUUUCUUUUUUGGUUUCCCAGAUGAAGAGAGAGACGAAAAUGAAUUGCUCCAGGAAUUGCCGAAGCCCAAUGAACUAUCCAUUUCAAGAGGGGAUCUAGAAUAUUCUGAUGAUAUGUUUGUCAUGGAUUUGGUAACUCUGAGGGCUGCCACAGCUAACUUUAGCCUUACAAACAAGCUCGGACGAGGCGGGUUUGGCAUUGUUUACAAGGUUAAAUAUUCGAUGGGAUCAUAUUCAAUUUGGUUGGAAGAGGUUCCCACAAAAACAUAAACUGAUGACUAUUCUUUAAGUUGUUUCAGGGAAUUCUACCAGAUGGAAACGAAAUAGCAGUCAAGAGGCUGUCGAUGAAGUCAUGGCAGGGCGUAGAAGAGUUUAAAAACGAAAUCACGCUCAUUGCAAAACUCAAACACAAAAAUCUGGUGAGGCUUUUGGGUUGGGGCAUAGAUGGACAUGAGAAGCUACUCAUAUAUGAAUACAUGGCCAACAAAAGCCUCGACGUCUUCCUCUCUGGUUAGUCCCAGUAUAGUCUGUUUUCUCUCACAAGUAGACCACACUCCUAUUGUCUUUACACAUUCAAUGAAAAUUGUGUCAGCUACUGCUUUGCAGACCCAAUGAAGCGUUCGCAGCUCUAUUGGGGAGCACGCUACAGCAUAAUUAAUGGGAUUGCCAGAGGACUGCUUUAUCUUCAUGAGGAUUCUGUGCCGAAGAUCAUCCAUAGAGAUCUAAAGCCGAGCAACGUGUUGCUGGACAUCGACAUGGUUGCCAAGAUAUCGGAUUUUGGUAUGGCGAGGAUUUUCUCAGAGAAGCAGAAUGUAGCAAACACCAGAAGAGUUGUCGGGACUUUGUAAGUUAUGCCUCCCCUGCCUUGUACAAUUUCUAAUAUUUUUCCAUUCAGUUGUUGUCGUUUGCAUCUCUGUCGAGUUUUCUUUUUCCUUUCAGUUCUUAUCACUAAAAACAUUUUGAGAAUAGUUUUCGGAAUUCAAUUUUUCAAAAAGAGGUAUGUGAUAUCUUCAGUCUGCCUAACUGUGGUCUAUAUGUUUCAGUUUUCAUUUAGCUCGGAAUCAGUGCAGGACCAAAAACACUUCGUAAAAUAUUACUUGCCUUCCGAUUUAGAUUAAAAAGACACUAGAAAAGCACCUCUUGUUAAUUUUUUUAAUCCAUAGUGUGGUUUGUAUUCUUAAAAAAAAAAAAUCAAAAUGGAAAAUGAAUCUCUGUGAAUGUAUGAAAGAAAAUCACUUAUUUGAAGUUCCAUUGGACUUGUUUUUGCCCAUGCACAAAGCAGCGGUUACAUGGCCCCAGAGUAUGCGAUGGAGGGACAAUUCUCUGCGAAGUCUGAUGUGUUCAGCUUUGGAGUCAUCCUGCUCGAAAUCAUCAGUGGGAAGAAAAAUAGUGGUUUUCACCUCACCAAGCGCGCAUCAUCGCUGCUGAAAUAUGUAAAGUUCUUUCUUCUGGCAUACUUGCAUCACGAUUUUAACUGAAUUGAACAAGAAUUUGAAAUCACUUAGACGACAUAUCACAGUAACAAACAUAAACUAUGUGCAGGCAUGGAUUUUGUGGAACGAAGGGAGAGAGCUUGAAUUCGUGGACCCUUUCCUACUGAAAUCGUUUCCACCGGCUGAUGUGCGUAGAACCAUUCAAAUGGGGCUUUUAUGUGUGCAAGAAGAUCCAGCAGACCGGCCUCUCAUGACGGAUGUGGUGGUUCUUCUCGAAAGUGGACCUGCCAUCCUCUUGCAGCCGAAACAACCUGCAUUUUCAGUCGGGCGAGACAUCCCCUUGGAUAGCCUUUCGAUGCCAGAAAGUUCUUGUACCAACGAUAUUACUGCUUCUACAAUGUCGCCAAGGUGAACGGUGGCUAUCCACACCCAAACAUUUGACAUUACCAUGACUCUCAGGUACAAUGGGAACUAGGUAUAACAAGUACUGCUAAUUCAUGCAGAAAUUUAAAUUCAUGAUCUGUCUUAGCUGUCUGAUAAUAGGUAAAACUAAGUAGAGCAUGCAUAGGUUUUUAUGGCAACCAUGUAAAUGACAACUCCAGUCUUUGUGAAUUUUCUGUACAUCGACAUUAACAUCUUGUUUGUUAAAUUGAUUGGGUCUCAGAAAGAAUGAUGAUGGUCGUAACUAGAUGGGCAGCCGCCUUCAUGUGUAUAGGCAUGGUCGUAAGAUGAACACCUUACAAUAAGAUGGCACAUGCAUAAUCUUUCAAAUUUUUCGAAGAAAGUUUUUUGUUUUUUGAAGUCGAGACAAAUGGGCUCUGAACACUACAGGAUUAAUUUUUGCUCAACAAAAUCUCUUGGUCAAACAAGUCACGAGCAACCCAAAUGGCUUGUAUAAUCAAAGUCCUGCAAAGUCUCACCAUAUCUUGUUAUACCAUUUGAUUUUAUCCGGUUAUAAUUUCCCCCUUCCUCCAAAAAUAACUGCAUCAUGGAUAUCUAGUUGAUUUGCAUGUAGACUCGUGUUCCAUAUAUAGCCAAACUUUAAUCUGAUACUACCCUAUAUAAACAUCUUCUGAAUGUAUCUUCUUAGCCAUCCAAUCAUCAAAACAUGAAUUCUUGCUUCACCAUCUGCCUCUCUCUCAUGCUCGUCUUCUUCCAAAUUUCUCAGCAUUUACACUCCCACUGCUGAAGCUGCACCAACUUAUUUAUGGCACUAGUGCACAAAAACCACCCUCUUCACUCCACCACCUACGAAACAAAUCUCAACACCCUCCUUUCUUCCCUCUUCUCUGCCGCUGCCGCCGAUGCCCAUGGCUUUGCCAAUGCCACCGCUAGCAAAAACCCACUUGAUCUCAUCUACAGGCUAUUCCUCUGCCGGUUGCGUGGCAUUUGUGAGCAAGGAAAUACUCGUGCAUGCCCUGAUGAGAAAGACUCAAAUCACUUGGGACAAGAAGCGCAUGUUGCGAUACUCGAACCAAUCAAUUUUCUGCGUUGAGCAAGGGAAACCCCGUCUUCGUGUUCAUAAACGUGGUCAACAUCCCAAAAUUGAGUAGCUUCACCCAGUUGUUGAAGGACAACUGAGGAAUUGGCCGAGACGGUGGCGAGGGACGGUCUGGCAAGAGGAGAUCGCAAUAAGGCAGGAGGGAGAGUCUUGGCCCCGAAUUGCAAUUUUAGCUUGGUGUUUUACAAGUUCUAUAAUGGACUGCCUUCUACAAAGCACUGGCACCAGCGCGAAGACUGACGCUGGAACUUGGAGCUACUAGAAGCUAUCAGAUAUCAAAUCAAAUACUAAAAGGGGGUUACACUUAGAGAUGCAUGUUCCAGCAAACUCUCUAUUAAUAACUUUAUUAUCAAUUUUGAAGUGAAAUCUAGUUGCAUGCAGCCUGUUUGAAGUUGGCUUUGUCAGAAAAGGUGAGGCUCCACUGAAAUUAGAAAUUCUCUCUAGCAAAGUGCUAGAAAACAAAACACACCGAAUUCAAUAUGAAAGCUCUACAGUAUAAAAGCCAGCAAUAGAGCAAUCAUUUUGUACCACAAUCAUUGCAAGAGAAUGGACGAACCCAUGCACUUUAAUUAUUAAUAUUGAUUUGGACUCUCAACCUCCUGGACCAAAGUUCUCUUACACAACUCUUUGACAUACUCAACAUCAUCCUCCAAUGCUUGCUUUUCUCUUGUUGAACUAAUGAGUUCCAAAGCCAUCCAUAACCUAGCUAUAUUAGAGCCAGCGAUUACAUAUCCUUUGGGAAAAAGUGAAUGUCCUUGUCAUGAGCUGAUAGAUCCCUAGCAGCAGAAUAACCCAUUACUUAGCCCCAACGAUCACUUCCCACCCUUAUAGGGACUGCGUAGACCACAAGCUUUCCCCAAAUCAUCACCUACUAAAGAAAUCAGCUCUCAUACUUUUUGUUGGGAGCACAUAGUAAAAGUCCAAUACCUUUAUAUGAGAAAAUUGCCAAGAGGAACCCCAAGUCUGAACUUGUUAACACAUCUAGUUUGAACCCGCAUUCAUUUAAUAGCUUAAGUUAAGGAAUUCUAGUCUAGUUAUGACACAUUAAUUGUUUCACAUCAGUCAAAUUUUCUAUAUCCUAAUAAUCCUUUCAUUAGGAGAUGAGCUCCUUCAAUUUUUUUUUGGCAAUGUCAUCUCCAAUCUAAAGGAGAUCAAGACGUGGUUGCUUUUCCUUUUCAUCAAAUGCCCAAUUUUUAAACAAGGCCAUAGAGUCUUCAUGACAAGGACUUUUUAGAUUAUGGGCUGAAUGAAAACUCAUUAUAAAAGUGGUUUCCAGACCAUGCUUAAAUUUGGAACUAACUUAUAAGAGGUGCCUCUUGAUAUAAUAAUACAGUUUAGUGUCGGGAAUCUAAUGUUAAACAUGUCUAGUUGGGAAACCAAUCAAGGUGGGUAGCCUUCUAGAAACAAAAUUGUGGAGUCGGUAUAUGAGGGAUUAAAGUGUGAAUGCCUCGAGCGAAUUAGGUCAAAGAGUCACACGACGACCUAGAAAAAAAGUCAAUUUCAUUUUCUUUCCCAAAGAAAAAAGAGUAGGUUGAACGAAACGUUUUUAGAGGAGGCCAUGUUGCAUCGAACUGUAUGAAUCAAAUUUAAUCUAUCAAAGUAGUCUGUUGCCGUAAUGGAAAAUUCAAAGCUAUAAGCGUCACCAAAGUCACUUUCAUCCCCAUCUCCUUCCGUAAUGGAAAAUUCAAAGCUAUAAGCGUCCCCAAAAUCACUUUCAUCCCCAUCUCAUCUCUCUCUCUCUCUCUCUCUCUCUCUCUCUCUCUCUCUACAACGACAUCACUGGCAUACAUAUCUCGACUUUUCUUGUUCUAGCCACCACAUAGAAACCAAAGAAGAAAGCAACUCAUGUCCACCCCUGAAUAUGUUGGAGGUUAUAGGUUUGAGAGAGAAGAAGCGGUUGCUUGAAGUAUUAUAUCAAGAGACGUCAAGUUUGGAACGCUCAAUAGUUACCUCCAGCAUAGGGAAACCCUAAAGUUUUUAUAUGGAUGUUAUUGGGCUUUGGCCCAUAUGGACCUAAAUAACCCUGCUUUCACUUAUUGGGCUUGUAUGUGAACAUAUUAUUUUGGACUAUAUUAAUAAUAUAUCAAACAAUCUCCUCCUAUGUUCACCAUAUAGCACAAUCUAAUAAGUUGGUCAGUGUAAUGUUCAUACAAACAUGAAUCAUCCACAUUCAGUCCAAGUCAAUCAACUCGGAUCGGUCAAAGAGUAUUUCAAUAGUAAAGUAUUAAACUAAAUCAUCAUUUACUUAUCAUUCUUAUCAUAAAUUUGUUUUGAGAUUAACAAAAUCCAAAUUCCAAAAUAAAUCUCAAACUUAGUUCACAACCAAUAUAUGCAUAAUAGUCAAGUAUAAGUAGGCCAGUCAAAAUAGUCCAUGACCUUACAGAUAUAAGAAACAAGCAUAAUAAUGUUCACAAAAUAGAAAUGGCAAAAUGCAAGUCUCAAAUAAAAAGACUUCAUCAAAAUAAGCAAUAAUAGGUAAAUUGUCAAGUCUCUAUAUGCUUUAAAUGAUAUAUAUUAAUUUAUCAAAUAGGUCAUCCUUGUCAGAAUCCCGCUUAUUAAGCUCUCCUCCAUCUCUGUCAUCCUCUGUAGAAUGUCAAAUAUGAAUUUCAUACUAUCAUAAAUUCAAUCAUUUGAAUAAAAACAUAGCAACAUUCCAUUAGGCAGAGAAGAACAUUUAUUGAUGUCAUAAAGCAUCAUAAUAUCAUGUUCAUAAGCAUCAAUCAAGUUUCAUAUAUUAUGAACAAGACCUAAACAAUGUGAUUUACAAAAAGCCAUCAACUUAAGUUUAUUUGUAAGAGAAUAACUAUUGUCUAGUUUCAAAGAACAUGACCAAUAGUCAAUUCACCUACAAUAACCUAGCCAUGUAAUAUCACGUUUCAAUUAAGAACAAGACCAUCAGGCUUCUUAUGUAAACAAUUAUUUCUAUGUUUCAAUUUAGAAUGUCACAGUUACUAAUUCCUUAAAGUCAAAUAAUCUAGCAUCAAGUUUGGAAUGAGAUCAUUUAACCAAAAAUGAUAUUCCAACCUAAUUGAAUUGUAUCAUCGAGUUUGGAAUGACACAAUUUUCCCCGAUAGAACAUUUGAAUUAGGUUAAAGUCAUCUUCAUCAAGUUUGGAAUGAGAUAACUCACCCUUUUCAAAUUAGUCAGCAACUGUGAACAUCGAUGAAACAUAUAAACCGUGCUUAUCAUUAUAGCUAAUAAAGAAAGAUUCGAUAAUUCAAAACACACAAUUAGAAGGUAAGUAAAUGGUAGUUAAGACUUGCCUAUAUAGUCUUUAACUCCAAUUCCCCCACUUUUUUGCAUAAUCAAUCUUUAGGCAUACAUUUGGUGAGAAUAUCGGCUAUAUUAUCUUUCGAUCUCACAUCGAUCAAGGUGAUAACCCCUUGUUCUCUUAGAUAAUUCAACAACGCAUGUCUCAGUCUCACAGGUUUUAUCUUUGAAUUAAAGAGAGCAUUCUUGACGACUUGGACAGCUGCUCGAUUAUCACAGAAUAUGCUUAAAGAAUUAAUCUUUAGCUAAGUCAAAGGAAUAUCCAUAAUUAGAUUCUUUAUCCACUCUACCUCUUCACCGGCUGAGGCUAAAGCAAAAAGUUCCGAUUCCAUAGAUGACAAUACAAUACAAGUCUGUUAUUUGGAUUUCCAAGUAAUAGCAGCUCCACCCAAAGUGAAUACAUAUCCACUAGUGGACUUACUAUUUCCAAUAUCUGAGCACCAUGAGGUAUCAGAAUAUCCAUCAACAAUUGGAGGAUAACCAGAAUAAUAGAAAGCAUAAUAUUUAGUACCUUUAAGGUAUCUCAUUAGCCUAUCGAGAGCAUCCCAAUGCUCUUUACUAGGAUUACUAGUAAAACAACUCAGCAUGCCAACUGUAAAGGCUAUGUCAGGUCUAGUGCAACUCAUAGCAUACAUGAGACUACCAAGUAGUUUCGAGUACUUUAACUGAUCCACGUUGGUCCCUUCAUUAGGAUUCAAUAUGUUAUUAUAAUCACAUUAUGUCUCACUCGGUUUACACUUAUCGUAUCCCCAAGUAGAAAGUAGUUGUUCAAUAUAAUGAGUCUGGCUAAGGGAGAUGACUUGCCGUUUAAAGCUUACUUUCAUACCAAGAAAGAUAUUAGCAAUACCAAGAUCUUUCAUGUCAAAUUCUUUAGCUAAAGUAGCUUUCACGUUACUCAAUACAGAAUUAUCGGAACCAAGAAUUAAUAUGUCAUCAACAUACAAGCAAAUGAUGACUAUCCUAUUUGACAUAGAACGAUGAUAAGGGCAUUUAUCUAAAUAACUAGACUUAAAAGCAUAACUCUUUACCACUUUAUCAAAUUUAAGAUGCCACAUCUUAGGUGCUUGUUUAAGACCAUACAAAAGUUUAUUCAAUUUACAAAUUUUGUCCUCAAGACCUUUCAUAACAUAUCAUUCUGGUUGUUCCAUGUAAAUGUCCUCAUUUAAAUCCCUAUUUAAGAAAGCUGUUUUUUUACAUCCAUUUGAUGCACUACAAAGUGUUCAAUAGAUGCCAAAGCAAGAAGAAUUCUUAUAGUUGAUAGAUGACACAUAAGUGAAUAUACGUCAAAAUAGUCUAUUCCACUUUGUUGUUUAUAGCAUUUAGCUACUAAACGUGCUUUGUAUCUGGCUGUUGAUCCAUCACUAUUCAGUUUCUUCUUCAACACCCAUUUACAGCUUAUAACUUUAGCCCAUUUUGGCAAAUUUAUUAGCUGCCAAGUGUGAUUCUACAGCAGGAAGCUCAUUUCAUCAUCUAUGGCUUCUACACACAGUAGAGAUUCCCUAGAUCUCAUUACUUCCUGUUAAGAGAAUGGAUCAUCCUCAAGAUGGUAAGCAACAAAGUCCUCACCAAAACUUUUGGGAAUUCUCUCUCUUGUAGAUACUCUAACUGGAAUCGGUUCAAUAGCCAAUUGUGUGGAAUUAGUGUCAGAAGGGCCUGCUUUAGAUUCUACAGGAGAUUUUGAAAUUAUAUUUGUAGAUCCAGAAACAAUCAAGCCUUGAUCUUUGAGAAACUUGUUUUCGAAGAACACUGCAUCUCUAUAUUCUAUCACUGUGUUAGAAGAACACUACAUCUCUAUAUUCUAUCACUGUGUUAGUAGAUAGAUCUAAAAUCCUAUUCGCAGUGCUAUCUUCUGGGUUUUUUAGGAUCUGAUAUACUUACAUAAGCAAUAUAGCCCCAAGUCUUAAGAGUAUCAUAUCUACAAGGGUGCUUCAUCCCCAAGUCUUAAGAGUAUCAUAUCUACUUAGAGUGCAGCAACAUGUUCAAGAUGUGAUUAACAGUUAGAACUGCUUCUCUCUAGUAGGAGGAAGGCAUACCAGCUGUAAGUAACAUAGAGUUUAACAUUUCAGUUAACGUUCUAUUCUUAUGCUCUGCAACACCAUUUGAUUAGGGUAAAUAAGGAGCAGUGAUUUCAAAUAUUAUACCUUCUGAAACACAAAAUUCUUGGAACUUGACAUAGUAUAUUCUCCUCCUUUAUCACUCCUAAACCUCUUAAUUUUCAAGUUAAGUUGAUUUUCUACUAUAGACUUGAAAAUCUUAAACUUUUCAAAAGCCUCAUCUUUCGAUUUUAACAAAUAGACAUGACAAUAUCUAGAAAAAUCAUCUAUGAAUGUUAUUAGAUACUUCUGACCACCUUUAGUAAUGUAAUUUCUAAAGUCACAAAUAUCAUAAUGUAUUAACUCAAGAAGUUGUGUGCUUUUAGAAACCAACUUAAAGGGUUUUCUAGUGAUUUUAGCCUGUGCACACACUUCACACUUAUCAAAUCGAAUAGAAGUAUUUAAUGGAAUGUUGUGAGUUUUAGCUAAAUGUUGCAUUUUCCUGUAAUUCACAUGUCUAAGUCUAUUGUGUAGCAACUUUGGAUCAAUUAAAGUAGAAUUCACAUGGUUUAUGCUAUCGGCAUUUAAACUCAACCUAUACAUACCAUUAACCAUGAAUGCAUAACCAAAAUAAUAUGAGUUAACAUAUAAAGUUACUCUACCAUUCAUAGUUGAAAAAGAUAUACCGGCUUUAUCAAGUAAACUCAUAGAUAUCAAAUUCUUCUUAAGUAAAUGUACUACUCUAACAUGCUUCAGAGUUAGUAAUUUAUCUGAAGAAAGCACCAAAUUUACAAUUCCAGUAUGAGUCACAUUUGCCUCACCACUGCAAUUUUCCACAGCAUCAGUGAGUAAGUUUUUGUCAUUUGUAGCAUGACAAAUAGUGCCACUGUCCAACCACCACUUAGAAGAAACGCUGGCCUUUCCAUUCUUCAUCAUUCCAAUGAAGGCUCGAGGCUUAGAUCGUCUAAUUAGCAUAUUGGCCUCAUUAUGUGGUGUGUCAUUAUUUGGCUUCCUCGGCAACUUACACUCUGCUACCCAGCGACCCCACUUUCCACAGUUAUGGCAUUUGGCAUUCUUCUUCUUUUUGAAGAUAGUUUUUUGGCCUCUAACUAUAAAGGGGAUUCACCUUUUGGUGACUUGGACUUUUUCUGAGGUUUAUUGGAGUGUGAAACUAAGUUGACAACUGACUUUUGUUGUCCCAUUUAUCCCAAACUCUUCCUAGUAAUAUUUUGAUCCUCAAUGUGAAUAUACAUCUUUAAUUCAUCCAGUCCCAUCUGUACCUUCAGUUUGUGCAUUUCAGUAUUAAAAGAACUCUAUUCAGUUGGUAGUUUGCUCAACACAAGACCGACAAAGAGAUUAUCGGACAUAUAAGAAUUAUCAUCUUUCAGCUUGUUCCUCAUGUUCUCAAAUUCAACUAACUGAGAGGUGAUGCUUGAAUUCGUAGUGAAUUUAAAGUCAAAAAAUUUCUCCGCUAGGAGAGUUUUAGAGAGCCCCUCUUGUUUUUGGAAUUGAGCAUUCAAGUGAUCCCAUAUAUCUUUCGCCGUCUUAUACUCACUAUAAGUCAUAGUCAGAUUAGGAUUUAGAGAGUUCAACAAGUAAUCUCUACAAAAAAUUCUCAUCUUUGUUCCAUUGAUAUUCAUCAACAUCUUUAGUAGUAGAUGCAAAAUCACUUAAUACGGUAUAGAAUAUGUCACGUUCUUUCAUGCCAAAUUGAACAUGUAAUUUCCAGCCAUGAAAUUCAGUAACAUCAAAUGAUUGUAGCUUUAUAAUAUCAUAGGAACUACGCUUUGCCAUUUUAUCAGAGCAAAGUGUUAGAAAGAGUGCACCUUGGAGUCCUCGGAGCCACAACCUUGAUCAAAUUGCUCUGUAGUGAUGGAAUUUGCCAAAACAAACCCCAAAAAUGGAUCUGGAGCGCCCAAAAACCUUGAGAUGGACUGCCUUGUCACUGAAACUUGCUGAAAAUUUCUGUCCCCGAAAUUCGCUAGAAAUUUCGUCCUUGAAAUUCGCUAGAAAUUCAUAUGGAAACUUUUGGGUGCCGUAACUUCUCCAUUCGACCUUUGAUUGACGCGAGGGACCACUCAAAACGUUCGUAUCAAUGAGUAGAUCAAAGCCCAAGUGGUUUCACCCUCUAAAAUUGGCUAUAAUUUUUGGGUUUUUGAAUCAAAGAUUUCGAUCACCUGAAUCUUUAAACUCAGAUCUCGGCCAAUACCACCGUCGAAAUCGAAAGUAAAUUACAGCCGCGAGUUCGUCUUGACGAAAUCUUCAAGAAGACUUUUUACUCGCUCAAAUCUAACACACGAACAUAAUACUUCAAGAUUGUUGGAAAUUAUAGGUUUGAGAGAGAAGAAGCGGUUGCUUGAAGUAUUACACCAAGAGACGUCAAGUUUGGAACACUCAACAGUGUUACCUCUAGCGUAGGGAAACCCUAGAGUUUUUAUAUACAUGUUAUUGGGCUCCGGCCCAUAUGGACCCAAAUAACCAUGCUUUCACCUAUUGGGCUUGUAUAUGAACAUAUUAUUUUGGACCGUAUUAAUAAUAUAUCCAACAAAAUAUUGGUGGCCUAACUAUAACCCCAACUCUUGUCGCUUUAAUAUUUUGGAAAGGACUUCAAUGUUUUCUACUUUAGGGAUGAUCUCAGACCGGUUUGUCUUGACUUGUAAUAAUCUGUUCUAACCUCCCCCGAGGAAAAAAAGAAGAAGAUCUAAACUAUCGAAUUUCAUAUGUUGUAUAACUUUUUUUUUUUUUUGGUAAGGCAAUUUUUUUUUUUUUGGUAAGGUAAGUUUUAUAACUUUAAUAUAUGUCAAAUUUAAAAUUAUAGAUGCUCACGUUAGAGGCCCCGUUUGGUUCAGCUUUGAAGAAAUGACUUUGAGGAAAUGUUGAUGCAUUUGGGCUAAAGGGAUUUUUCCAAAAUACAAAUAGUAUUUGGUAAAUUGUAUUCUGAAAACAAAUUAGGAAGCAACUUUGACCCAAAUGCCGCAUGAUAAAAACUACACUUUGUAAAAUAUACAACUAUUUGCUUAUGGAAUUCAGCUGCUGCCGGCCAGCCUCUAGUGAUCACUCACAUGUAGUUAAGGCCUUCCCUGACAAAUCAAGGUUUUUGAUGACAAAUUUGGAAUUAUGAAAUUGAGCGAUGGAAAAGUUGAAAGGAAAAGUCUCUUCGGAGACAUCCGAUAAAAUUGGAACGAUAUAGAGAAGAUUAGCAUGGCUCCUGCGCAAGAAUGACACCCACAAAUCGAGAAAUGGUCCAAAUUUUUUACUUACCAAAAAAAAAAGUUGAAAGGAAAAAAAAGAGUCCGUUUGCAUUUGUAAAAUGCUUAUUUUCAAAGUACCUUCGGACUUGCCUUGGGCUAAAAGCCUUUGGAGGCAUUUGGAAAUGUAAUUGCGUUUCCUCAAGUUGAGAAAAAAGAUUAACUAAACAUCAUUUGCAUCUGCCCAAUGGACUUUAGAGUCUCAAAACCCAUUUGAAAUGUUGAACUAAAUGGGGCCAAAGAAAAUCCAUGUCAAGUAAGUUUCCUAAUUUUAGUAGGUUUUCUAAAUUAAGUAUAUUUUCUUAAGGAGUUUUCUAUGUUGAAUUAAAAAAAUCAUUGCAUAUAGGAGAUAGAAUUCUACUUAAUGCACACAAACUAGAGCAAACAAGAAGAAUGUUAGAAUUUUAUGUUUGUGAGUUUUCUAUGUGAGUUACUUGUGAGAAAUUGUGAGAUAACACAUUUGGUCCUUUUUUUUUUUUUUUUUUGUAAUUAGGGGCUAGGAACAAAUAAAUGAUGGAGCAAUUGUAAACUAUGUACUCUACGGAGUUAUAGUGGAUUUCUUGAUAGCAAGCUCUGACCAUGAGGUAAGUACCCAAAGUCAAACCCAAUUACAUAAUUUUCUAAUGUCCUUGUCAUUUCUUAUUGAUUUCUCUACUUAUAAUUUACUUGGUCGAAUGCAUAGCUUAGCUUUCUAAAAACACCCAAUGAGUAGCUAGUUGAGUGGGUAGGUCACAUAGUCAUCAAGUAAUAGAGCCUUACCCAAUGCACAUACCUAAAUGGCGGGGAUUUAUCCAGCAUCAAUAAAAUUAGCUCAAUCAAAAGGUUUGAAUGCACCAUUAUGUAAAAGAAGGCAUUGUUAAUUGCUUAAAUCAUUUCUUAUGGAGCAGUACAUAUAAGUGGACAUAAUAGAGUAUUUAUUAGGAAUUUUUCCAGUGAUGGUUUAAUGUCAAUGUGUGCGCUACUAAAUCAAUAUAAGUGAUCCAGUAAGGGCAUAUCACUAGUUUCUUAAAAGAAAGCUAGAGCCAGGUUUUGAAUAGAGCAUGUGAAAUUUUUAUCUUCCUGCGAAUGUUUUUCAAAGUUGGCUUAAUUGUCUUCGCAUGUCUUUAGAGAAUUUUAAGGUUUAUUUAUUUUUUACGUAAUUACAUUGUGAUAGUAUUUUUAUCUUGCAUUUAUCUUUUAUAUAUAGUUAAAAUUGGAACUAAUAGAGUCUUCAUUCAUAUGCUCAUCCCAUGGCACUUCACUUUGUUUUAGUGAUUGCCACAUGGCAUGACACAUAAAAUAGUUGUCACAUGACCCACAUCUAUACUAUACAUGUGGUACUUCAACAUACUUCUAUAAUUGUCGCAUGGGCACAUAGCAUAGUUUUGUCAUGUGGGCCACAUUCACAUGUUCGCCACGUGACACUUUACUUUGAUUUUUGAUUGCUAUAUGCAUGACACACGGCAUAAUUUUAUUCCAAACUAAUUUUUGUCUACUAAUCGAGAAUAGAUUUGGAUCAGGAGUACCGGUUUCAGAUUUCUUGAUAGAAGAAAAUUAUUUUAGAGUUACCAUGUCAUAGUGGUCCAAUUUAGGAUUUUUCUGAAAAAAAAAACGAAAUUAAGUUGGACUAAAUCUGCAAGCUGAUUCGGGAUUUUCAAUGAUAUUAAUUCUAAUUCUAUUAAUAAUUCCCUAACACAAUUUUAAUUGUGAAAUUUAUAUAUCAUUUACAUAUUCAAUUCUUUCAAAUAAUAUCUAAAAUGUAAAAUGAUAAGGAUUUGCUAAAGCGACAAUGAAAACUAAAUUGCUGGGUAAAGCUUGGUCAUGCAUGUGCCACGUGAUACCACUUCAUGCAAGCUUUUCCGCGAGAGAGAGAGAGAGACAGAGAGACAGAGAAAGAUUUGUAAUUAAAGCUAAAGUUUGAGUCAUUUCUCAAUGCAACAUAAAAUUUACAAUAUGAAAAGUCAACUAAUAGGUGAAGAAAUUUACUCAGAAGCCUGACUAGUAGGUUCCGAGAUGCCUGAUCUAUGGAAGCUCCUCGCCUCCAUCCCCAUGAAGAGUGUUGUGGCCUGAGCAUAUAAUUAUGACAUACAUACCAGGUCAAUUUAGAUUAUAUAACAAACAAGGAAAUGUAUUUAUGACACAUCCUUUUCCUGUGAGACCCAAUCUCCCACAUGUUGCGUAGCCAAUUUUAUAACCCUCAAUCAAGAUAAGCCCCAACACAUAAUUUAUGAUAUUAUUAAUGAUCAAUAUUAUAAAACAUUGGACAAUGUGAAUGACAUCCGAUAUGAAUUUACCAUCAUUUCACAAGUUUGACUCCCCCGUGUAUGUAUAACAACUUACAUAGGCCUAUUUGUAGACUCCGCAGCAGAUCACUUGUUCAGAGAACUUAUAUGAGAAGAUUCUUGGAUUUAAUUAUAUAUACAUAUUUAUAAUUACUGGUAAAGUUUAUAAGUGAUUAGUAACUUCUCAAUACGUUAUACAAUUCACACAAAAUAAGUUUACAGUAACUUAGAAUGAAGAGUUAAUUAAUAGGCUAAACAAUUUACUCAAAAACCUUAAUAGUAAGUUCCGAGUUGCCUAAUUUGCCGAAGCUCCUUGCUUCCUUCUACAUGAAGAGUUAUGGCCUAAGCAUAUGUAAUUACGAAAAAUUCACCUGGUCAAUAUAUAGAUUAUAUAAUAGUCAAGGUUAUGAAAUUAUCCCUGAAAAACCGAAUCUCCCAUGUGUUGUGUAGCCAAUUUUAUAAACCUCAAUCAAGCUAAGCCCCUACAAAUACAUUAUGAUACUAUUAAUCAUCAAUAUAUAAAACCAUGGAUGACAUGAAUGACAUUUGACAUUGAUUUACCGUCAUUUCACGAAUUUGACUCCCCCAUCUAUUUACAACAGCUAACAUAGGCCUGUUUGUGGACUCCACAACACAUCACCUUUACAUUAAAUAAACAAAUUGCUCAAUAUUCACAAUGAAAUAUUUAAAAUGUUAUAAUUUCUUGAAAGAUCAAUGCUGAAUAUGCUUUGAUAGCAACCUAUUCUCGAAUGGGAAUUCCACGGUUUAAUUGUAAGGAAGCAAAUCAUCAUACAAACGCCCCUUUUUUUCCCUUUUCAAAAUGUUUAUCAAAGUUGGUUUUGUUGUUUUUGCAGGGCUUCCAAAAAUUGAAGUACAUUAAAUUUAGUCACUUUGAGUCGCUGGUUCACAUGCCUGACCUCUCAUGUACUCCAAAUCUUGAGGAAUUACAUUUUAAUAAUUGCAAAAACUUGGUAGAAGCCCAUGAGUCUCUUGCACAUCAUGACAAGUUAUGGUGUUGGAUAUCCAGGAGCGCUCUAGACUUAGUGCUUUUCCAAAUGAGCUCAAGUAAAAAAAUCUUCAAACUCUCACACUUAAAAAUUGCACAAAGUUCGAAAGAUUCCCUAAUAUUCCAUAUAAACUCGAAGCUUUAGAAUGGCUUCACUUACAAGGGACUUCUAUAAAAGAACUUCUUGCAUCAAUAGAAAAUCUUGUCUCUUUAAAGGAAAUGCAUUUGAAUACAUGCAAGAACCUGGUUAGUCUUCCAUCUAGCAUUUAUAAGUUACAAAACCUUGAAAUAUUGCGCAUUAAGUGUUGCACUAAUUUAAUCGAGUUUCCAAAGUAAGGGGAUUUAGCUGAUCCAUGCAUGAAGAUUGGACUUUCAAAUUUACAGGAGUUAGACCUUGAAGGAUGUAAUCUAUUUGAAAUAGAGUUCUUGAGAAUCUUUCUUGUUUUCCCCUCUUAGCUAAAUUAUUUCUGAUAAGAACAAUAUUACUAUCCUUCCUCCAUCCAUCAGUAAGCGUGAUCAUUUGUUUAUAUUGAGAGUUGAAAACCACCAUCAAUUACAAGAGAUUUCAGAGCUUCCCCCAUUUUUGGGUUAGCUUUGGGCGGAUAACUGUGAAUCUCUGCAAAAAAAGUGAAGAUUUAACCUCCAUUUAUUAUCUUGUCCGUAGAGGUUUGGCUAAUACGGUUGACUCAUUUGGCAGGGAUACGGUCAAUAGUGUGCUUGUAUAUAGUGUGCUUGUAUAUUGCAAUAGCAAAAAAUGCAAGAUUGAAAGCUUAGAAAAGCAAACAAAUAUGAAGGGAUUCUGCACGUAUAUGCAUAUAAAAUUUGUGGCUUUAGUACUUUUGUGGGAAUAAUUUCUAUUGCAUGAGAGUCGUCCAUUAAUGCAAGCAAGGGUCAAUGGAUUUUUUCAUUUGGGUACUAAUACUAACUUGGAUACUUUCUACUAGUCUAUCUUUGUAACAGUAUGGGCCAAAUUUCAAAAUAAUUCUCCCUCAAGGAGAGAUGCCACAGUGGGUCCUUCCCAUUGAAGAGGAUUCCAUAUCUUUCAUGGUUUUAGAGGACUUAAAUAACAAGAUUCUUGGAUUGACAAUUUGUGUCGUUCUUGAUAAUGUUGAACCCUCGUUUGAGGUUUUAGCACAUGCUAUUGAUGGUGACAGGCAAAAUGAUAUAGAGGAAUUGUUCUUCUAUCCAUUGCAUUCAAAACAUAUCUGGCUCAACUAUAUCACACCACUUAAGUUGCGGGGAGUAGUCGAUUUUGGUCAAAUUGAUGGGAACAAUGUAAAGUUUAGCCCUACAAAAUCGACAAAAGUGAAAAGUUGGGGAUUCUGAAUAAUAUGCAAGCAACUGGGGAAUGAUUUGAAAGUCGAUCUUCGAGAUAAUCAACUGGUAGAUCUAGCUUUACUCUACAAGAUCGGUCAUGAAUCAACAAAUACAAUGGCUAGGAGUUCACUUAUGCACGAAGAUAAUUUGAGUGAAGUAGAUCUACAGGACUUGCAAGAUUUUCAAGUGAGUGGUGAGGAACAAAGUCAAAUAGUACCAAAGGGUAGGGGUGUCAGGAACCGAACUGAAAAUCGAACCGAACCGAAAAAUUCAGUUUUUUCGGUUCAGUUCGGUUCAGUUUUCGGUUCGGUUCUCAUUAAAAACCGAAAUCUUUUUUUUAUCGAUUUGGUUUUUAUCAGUUAACCAAACCGAACCGAACCACAAACCAAUAAACAAACCAAUAUUGUUUGCUUGAUUUCUCAUCAUUUACUCCCCUAUUUUUGUCUUUCCUAGUUUUGCAAAUUGUGGAUUGUUCAUAGUGAGUGAAUCGCAACUAUUUUCUCCCAUUUCUUUCCCCCGCUCUGGCUCGUCGCCGUUCCUUUCGGCGUGCUUCGGUCGAGCAUGAGAGAGCCUUGAUCAUCAGUUGGAGAGGCUCUCCCUCUCCGUUUCGUCGUCUUCCUCCUCCGUCGCUCCACUUCAUAAAUUCUCUCUCUCUCUCUCUCUCUCUCUCUCUCUCACAUCGUCUUCUUCCCUCUGCUGUAAUCUCUCUCUCUCUCUCUCUCUCUCUCUCGGUCACUCUUUGGCCGAUUCGCUAGUUUUUUUGGGGGCGGGGGCGCUUUUUGGGGGACUGUUCAGUCGUCGAUUGGAGUGAGUAGAGAAAGGCUGGGGUUUUGUCCAUUUCCUUCUCAAUUCCGGGGAUGAUGAUUGGAUAAUGAACGAUGCUAGUAUGCCAUAGUGGCAUGCGCAAGGGCCGAGCUGCAUAGGGAGUCAACCGAUAGGGACCAAUCGACGCCGCCAGGGGCGUGAUCGUGACCAGGACGCGGAGGUGGCGUGCGGUGGCAGCGGCGACGACCGGAGCUAUGCCAACGGAUAACAAGCGAGGGUGGGAGGAGAAGGCCGUCGAGGGGAACGUGCUCGUGGAGGCGGCGGAGGCAAAGGAGGGGAAAACGGAGGAUCAGAGGGAGGGGAAGGUCACAGGGUGAUUUUGAACAGGAAAAAAAAAAGCUAAAAAUCGAAAACCGAACUGAACCGAACUGAACCGAACCAAAAUUUCAGUUAAGUUUGUACUCAGUUCGAUUCGGAAGAUUUUUCUAACGGUUUGGUUCCAUUCGGUUUUUUUUUUUUUUUAAACUGAACCGAACUAAACCAUUGACACCCCUACCAAAGGGAAAUCAUGAGCUUUUCUCCCUUGAGGCAUGCGAACCAAAACCGUGGAGACUUCUAAUUUGAUGGACAGAGAUGUGCAUGUGAUAUCUUGAAUUUUUUACCUGUCCCGAUAAAAUGAAAUGGGCAUCUCAUCGACACACCUAUGGUCAUUUUUCUCUAAGCUGAUCACUCAUGAAUUAAUCAAUCUAUUGGGUGAAGCCGUUAAGGAAUAUAAUCGCGGUAAAAUCCCUAAAAGCUAUGCUGCAGGUCGGAUUGGACUAAAAUCAUGUUUGGUUGAUUUUAACCAUGAACUUGAAUUCGGUUUCGAAAAUCAGACGUUCGAGCAUUUCACGAUUCAUUUAUAAGACGUCGUCUUGUCUUUCGGAGAGAUUCCGUCGAGUUCAGGAUUUUUACGAAAAACUGAUUCGAAUGAUUCGGAAAAACAACAGAAAUUUGGAUGGGCCAAAUCAAAUGGAUUUUUAGCCUCCUUACCGAGUGAUUUGGUGGUGAGGAUUUGUAGAAAUUGUGUGGGCUUUUUUCUACAACAAAAUUGGACAUCAAAUUGAGAGAUUUGAAAAGAAAUUGAGGUCCAAAAUUAAAGAAAUUCCAAACUAGGCAUGGGGGUGCAACAUUUUGCUUCAAAUUGAUUUAUUUGUGGAUUAAAAGGCAAGAAAGUAUUAAGGGGGACCAAGCAUUUAUGUAAGAAAAUAUUUUAUUUGACUUUGGGUUCAUCCUUAUCCAUUUCUUCCCAUCUUCUCGACCAAGCUUCGCUGGCCGACUCCCCCUCCUUUCUCUCGAGCGACCGUCCCCUCUAUCAUUUUUCCUGCAGCCUUGUUUUCUUUCUCUUUUCCUUCGCUGCCCCCGUUUUCAUUUCUUUUCCUUGCACCUUCAUUUUUGUUUGUUCUCUGCAACCAAAGACCCCACCAUCCGCUAUCUCCCUUGCCACACGUCCGCAAGCCACCACCAUUGAGUCAACUUCUCUUUCUUUGAAAUCCAAGUGUUGACCCUCCUCUUCGUGUCUCCCUUGGACUGCCCCCAAAACCUCACCGAAGCUGCCACUUCACCCAUCUAUCCAGCUGCUUCUUCGUCUGCUUCCGUCGAUGCCAGCAAACGGGUCAACAAACCAGCGAAGCCCUCCCCAAAGUUGACUUCAACAGCUCACUCCCACACCCACCGAAGUCACGCCAGUCCACACAUCUCCUGUAUAGCCUUUCUUAGGGGUGAUCGGGUCCAGGAUGGGUAGGGUCUAGAUCUGAACCAUAUACCCGACCCUGUUAUAACCGGUUCUCUUUUUUUGGACCAUGUUCCCGACCUUGUUUGCAUUAGACCCUGUUCCCAACUCACCCUAUUUUUCCGGUCUAGGAACAGGGUUAACCCUGUUUAUAUUAGAACCUGUUUUGCAUAAAAAUUACUGUACAACACUCAUAUGUAAAAUAAAGAAACGCUUUAUCUUACAACUAGAACGACCCCUCUUAAUGUGACAGCAACAAGUUAGCAAAACCAGCAUAAUAAUUGUUGUAUAAUCUAUCAAUGAAACUUGAAAGGUAAAUGAUUUACACACCAUAACAGUUUCAUGAUCAAUACAAAAUCAAUCGGUGAAACGUGAAAGAGGCAACGCAACCAUUUUAAAAUUGGAAUCCAUUGUGAAACCGAAAAAGUAAAAUAUUUAAGAAUGAGAGAGCGACUAUUAUCGCUCAUUCGUAUAACUAAUCAAUGAAACUAAUAAUUUCUAAUUACCAAACAUCACUAACUGGUGGCGAGCGGACCAGAAGUAGCAUCAAGGUCGUCGCGCGGUGAGGACAGGGAAAACGGUGGAGCUGAGCUGUCGGCGGUAGGGGCGUCGCUCAAGAGUAGGCUCGGAGUAUAUUUGUUAGGCAUCGGAGCAACGGAGCAGAUCUGUUUGGCGUCAAGCAGAGGAGGACCCAGCAGCGGCUUCACAAGGGAGGGCAGCACAAGCGAGGCACUGCAGUAGGGGGCUAGGUGGGACGCGGCGACAUCGGGUCGACGCAGAUCGGCAUAGUAGCAGCUUCGAUGGGCUACUGAUAUCGCGACUGGUGAGGGCGGCAAGGAUCGAUGCAGCUUCAGCAAGCAUUAGUGAGGGGGCUAGGCCAGAUCAUGAGCAGAGCAGGGGGGUGUCGUUCGGGCGGCGGAAGAUCGGCAGCAGGGGAGCUUGGGAAACAGCACGCGAUGAGUACAUGAUUGGUGGAGGGCUACUGUGGGUUGCUCGAAGAUGCGACAAGGUGGGCUUGCGGACGCGAGAUUUGUAGGUUAGGGGCAUCAGCGAGGCAACAAUAGUAGGUGGAAUGGCAAGAUCGAACGAAGGUGGCAUCGGCGCUCAGGUGCGAGCUCGGCGAGGGCCAGCAGCUUCGCAGGCAGAACCAAUGGAGUGGAGCUUCAAAUGAUCGGCGGAACGGCGGCGGUGGUGUGAGCGCAAGGGGUGCGACGAGAGUAGCAGAGGCGGCGUCGGCUUCGUGAUUUCAGGAGGGGAGCUCGGACUCUCGAAGCAAGGCUGGCCGGUCGCGAUUUUGGGAGAGGUAAAGAUAGAAAGUAGAAUAGAUUAGGGUUUUAUGUUGGUCUUUUUGGGGGGCUUACAAACCGAUCCUCCAACCGGUUCGGUCGAUUCGGUUCCCGAGUGGGUAAUCCCUCGGAACUGGUUCCGGGACCGGUUCAAACAGGGUUUGAGUUUUGGGAACCAAUUCCCGAAUCAGUUUCAACCGGAACCGGUUCUUGACCCUGUUUUCCGGGUGGGCUGGACUAAGAACCGGGUAAACCUAGUCCGGUUGCACACCCCUAGCCUUUCUACCGAGUCAACCUCCAGCAACGAAGACUCCAGCAGCAGAGAUGAAAUUUCCCUCUUUCACUGCCUCACGCCCGUGCAUCGUCCUCCGUCCCACACGCUCAGCCAGCUGCUGAGUCAAACUUUCCCAAACAGCCUUCGAUUGUUGACUCCUCACGUGAGCCCAUCUCCACGAAAUCAACUUCAGCAGCCCGUGCAAUUUUCUUCCAGCCUAGUCCAGUUGAAGUCAUCAACCAUGCAAGCUUCAGCCCAUGCCAGCAAUUCUAGUCGGCCAGCCCAUCUUGAGCCUAGUCACAAGCGCAUCUUCAACCCAGCUUCCAUCUCCAAGCAAUUUUACUUUUAGCCCACUUGAAGCUCAGCCUAGUUCAGUGUUUCUAGCAGCCCAACCCGCGGCUCAACCAAACCCAGAGUCAAGGCCAGCAGUAAUUGCGGGCCUUGCAAGGCUUGUUUGGCCCGGUCCAAGCCCAGUGGUGCCGCCGCAAUCUCAAGUUUCGGCCACUGUCGCGCCUCAUCAAUUUGAUCCAAGCGGAUCAUCGAUCAAGUGAGUUUUACUCACUAAUCCCUACUUAGUAGGCUAAUGAUGCUUAGGGGUUGAUUAAAUUUAAUUAAGUAUGAUUAGGUGGAUAGAUUAUAGUAGAGUAAUUAAAUUAGUGCCUUAUCAAUGCAUGUUAGGCAAAUUAUUAGUGACAUUAGCAAGUAGACUCGUGUUAUUAUUUAUUGAACGAGUCUUGAAAAUUUUCUGGGUCCAUUUCGGCUUCCAAUUAGGUAUUAUGGGCCUAAAUUGGAUUUAUUGCAUUUAUUUAAUAUUUUUUGCAAUUAUUUAAUUAUUUAAUUAUUUUUUGAAAAUUAGGCUGGGAUAGCUAACAACCGGAAUUUAUGUUGAUUAUUGUGGUGUAGUCCAUUUACUAAUUUAUUUAUUUGAACGUUGAUUUGUGUUGAAUUGAAUUAAUUAUGAUUUUAGGAUUUUAUUCAUAAGUUAAUUAAUUUUGGUAAUUAAUUGAAAAAUUACCAGCCGUCGAUUUACAGCGCCAAAAAUAUAUUAUGGGCUGUUGAAAUUAGUGGGAUAUUUAAAAAGGGGAAAUUAUUAUAUUUUGGCUAAGGUCGACCGUGUACCCAUACAUGAUCAUUUUUACCAGGUACUCUUAACCCAAGGAAAAUAGGCCAAGAUAAUGUGUUAAUUGAGAAAUUUAUUUAAGGAGUGUAAUGUUGUUGGCCGUAAAUGAAUUAUUGGAUGACAUUGUGGGUUAGAUCAAGAAAACUGCCGAAGUUCGGUUAUGUCCAUUGGACCGUAGGUCACCACCUAAUCUAGUUGUGUUCGCUGAGCCGUAAUUUAAUACCACCAUCGAACUUGGAAUCGGUUGUGCACGCUGAGCCGUAAUUAAGCGUUACCACCAAAUUUGGAAUCGAUUGUGCCCAUUGAGCCGUAAUUCAGCAUUAACCACCGAAGAAUUAGUAAGCCAUGCUCGCUAAGCCAUAAUUCAACAUUAACCGCCGAAAAAUUAGCAAGUUGUGCCCGCUGAGUCAUAAUUUAGCAUUACCGUCAAAGUUUUAGUAGGCCGUGCUCGCUAACCCGUAAUUCAACGUUGGGGUUGAGUAUUUGAAAUGCAUGGGUAAGCCGUGCUCGCUGAGUCGUAAUUCAGCAUUGAAUUUGAGUAAAUGAGAUGAGCCGACCAAGAAAGGGUUCAAGAUAACAUGUAAUCAACUAGGUCGAUUGAUGUUAUGAAUUGAUUGAAUGAUGUGAUAUAAAGCAUCUGUAAAUAACGUUAAUUUGCAGGAUGGAACUGAGGCCGAGGUAAGUCCUCCGUCUCGUGUUGUGCUUAGGCAGCCCUUAGGGCGUAUUGACUUCCUAAUCGGGUCUUAGGGGAUAGAACUUGCCGAGACAUUGUCUCACUGGUUAUUGUAUAACCAUUUUCAAGUCCCUAGUUGAAAGCGGUGGGGAACCCGAGGCCCAAAGUUCAAAAGGUGAAGCUCGGAGAAUCGGUAAGUACGUUUGAUUAGCUAGUCCUAGGACAUUUCUCUUUUGUUGAAAGCUGAUUCCUUUUUGUAGGUUUUUGUGUAUAAACCUGUGUAUUUAUAAAAAUGUCUUUUGUGAAAAAUUGGUCAUACUUUCCUAUCCUAUUGUUUUAUUGUCUGGGAAUUUCAUAUCCUUUUGCAUGCGUAUAUUAAAUGAAUGGGUUGACGAUGCAUCCUGGAACGUCGCUAUUUAAUCAAUAGUGAGAGAUAGGCGCGCACUCGAGGAUCGGGGCGUCACAAUACAUGACAAUUUUUGUUUGCUGCUUUUGUUGUUAGGAUGAUGGGAACUUACCAAGUAAGCAAUUCUUAGGUAAGUGAACUCAGCUGAUAUUACGACCAAAAAAAAAAGAACGCAACUGAUCUCCCUUACAAUGUUUUUUUUCCCCUUCUCGUUUUCUUUUCUCAAUAACACAAUGUUAGUACUCAAAACCCAUAACUAUAUAUAUAUAUAUAUAUAUAUAUAUAUAUAUAAUAUCCAUUGAGGUUUUUCAUGUGUCCACUUCAACUAGCGUUGACUUUGCCAACUAUAGCGAUAGAAAUGAUCAACCUUGGAGAGAACUAGAUAAUGGGGCUUUGGAUGCACAGUUGAUGCUGGUAGGAGUGGAGAGACAAAUUGGAAGAGAAAGACACAAACUUCCAUUGGAGCAUAUAGAAGACAAAGGCAUCAGACAAGAGAGAGACGCACGCAUCCAACGACACUCUCUCUUUCUUUGCACUUUCAUUUCCACGUAUUUUCAAUUCAAUUCACUUCCUUUAUUUAUAAUUUUGAUUUCCAAUGCAUCCGCUUUUCUUCCCACUUCAUUAUCCCGUAGAUUUAUCACUCAAUCCAAGUCCUCAUUCGCCAUUUUUAUCUUAGAUACGAAAUCAUUAAGCGAUCCCAAUCGCUUUCCCUUCACUUUACUAUUUCUGUAAAUAAAUUUAAACACAUGUUCCAUAACAACCUCAAGGGUAUAGUUAUUUUCACUAUGUUAUUCUUUUUUUUCUUGAAAACUAACAUUUUGAAAAAUAUAAAUGCUGAAUUUUUUGCAAAAUAAAAAGAGCGUAUUGAAAUUCGAUUUUCAUCUUUCACGACAAUUUAACCUUCCGUCUAAUUAUGUACUCCCAUCAUCCCCUAUUAAACCUUUUUAAUUUAUUAUUUUUCUUUGAUUUUUCCCAUUGUUGUAAAAGUUUCUCCCUUUUCUCUUCUCCUGAGGUUCUAGGCUCCGUGCAGAUUGCUAUAAAUCAGGUAACGCCUGGCACGACCGAAUUUUUUGUUUUUUGUUUUUUUGUUUUGUUUUUUUGUUUAAGUUUUUUUUUCUUUGGUUAAUCCUACUCUAUUCCUACUCUACACUCACUCGCAAACUUGUGCCCUGCCUCCUGCAGGGCGUGGGAGUCGCAACUCACUCUCGAAACUUAUGCAUCCCUACCCCCAUCCCCCUGAGGAGGUGGGGAUUUGAACCCCUCACCUCCCCCUUCCAUGUUGGAAGGGUGACCACUGGGUGAACCCCCAAUGGUUUUUUUGUUUAAGUUAACGUAAUACUUGAGAUGGAUUUUGAAUUCAAUUCGGUUGGUGCUGCAAUUGCACGGGAACUUGAAGGGUGUGUUGUUGAAUUUGUUGGAGAGACGCUGAAUGGGUGUUUCUUCGUAAGUUUUGUUUGUGGAUGCUGGAUAGUGAAUUCAUAGAUUGUUGACGUUACACGCUACAAAAUCAGCGAUAAUCUCUGGAAGGGUAUAGUUUUCUUUCUUUGUUUUCAUAGGCGGGAAUUUACUGAAAGAAGUAGGUGAAGUCUAGGUUCGAAGGAAAAACAAGCGAGGAAGACUGAAAUAAUGGGAAGGAGGGUGUACAUUCGUUGGUUCAGUCCCCUUCUCAGGUGAAAAAUUGAGCAAAUCUGGGUGCUGUAGGUUGGGAGGGAGGGAGGGAGGGAGGGAGGGAAUUGGGUGCUUCUGAGGGUCUAGGAAAUGUGGAUGUGUAGUAUGUACUCAUCGUACAUAUGUGCAGCGGGUGAUCAGUUUGUCAGGAGAAUUGAAUUCUGAGAAACUUCGAUCACUGGGAUAGAGGGUUCUGUCUCUAUGUUUUAUGAGGCGCUUGAAGAGCCAAAACCAUGGAGGAAUGAAGAAGAUGCAGUGAGAUGGCAAGGAACUAGGAAAGGUUGCUCAAUAGUGGAGUCCUUUAACUACAUCUUGACAUUGGCAACUAGGGAGAAUUGAAAACCAAAUUUACUUGGAGUGUGAGAGUAAUAUCAAUAUCGGUUGUGUCCGUGGAUAAUUGGUUAGGUGGUUAUUUUCUUUCGCCUGUGAACUGUGGAUAUGAAAAAGAAAUAAUCACAAGAAACACGGAGUUUACAUAAUCUAUUCAGUAGAACAGAGACAAAAGCACAAGAAGCUGAUUGUUGCUUAUGAAUUAUGAGGCUUUUGCAAUAGUUCAGGAUUCUUUUUUUAUCCUUAUGUGCUGUGGUUUUUAAGAAGGAAAAUGACUGAGAAGCUAAAACUCCUAGAUGCUUCUUGAAUUUUUGAGUGAAACCUGAUUAAUGAAAGGUUAACUUCUGAGCUACCAAUAAUAAGACACACUGGAAUGAGUAACAUGUAGUUUAUCAUAUUAGUUGUUGUUUUUGCUUUGGUGUUGUUAGAGCCAGAUCAGUUUGAGUGUUAUGUGGGAUUUGCAUCUGAAUUACAGGAUGAGUAUGUAUUAAUAAUCAUUAAUUGGAAGUUUGUGACCAGUAUGUUAUACUGGACUCGCAAGAUCUUGAUCUUAUAGUUGCAAGAUAUGGAUUCAUUUCAUUAGUAGCUGCAUAUUGAUACUGAAAUAUUUCUACUGUUGGCAACUUGAUGCCGAUUUCUUCCUGAGUUACCUAUUGUUCUCAUAAUUUGUUCUCCUAACAAGUAACGAGACCUAUUUGCCUCUUUUGUACAAAGCGCAACAUUGAAGUUCCGGUCAUGUAAGAAACUGGUUUUGGUAACCAGGUGCAUUUCAGAUAUGUUGUUUAUUUUCUAUGAAGAUGAUUAGUAUUUCAGUCUUCAUUAGUGAAUGAUCUCAAAUUUAUUUAUGUUAUAGCUUGAUUGAACAGCUAUGUGAUUGUUGAGAUGCGAACAUCAUUCCAGCAGGAAGAAACUGGUGUAGUGAGACAUGAAAUGUAUAUUUGUCAUUAUCAUGAUUAGCCCGCAAGGUGUUCGUUAAAAUUGCCUAGGGAAAAUUGUGUUGAACAUCUCACCGGAUAAGCAUCUUUUGUGAAUGUAUACUAGAGAUGACAGUGGUAAAUUAGAGAUGAUGUAGAGAGGACCUUAAAUGAGCACAGAAGUACAGAUUCUAUACCUGCAGUUGUCCUGCUUUAUUCCUGGUCUGAACUCAAUUGGGGAGAGGGCUUGUUAGGCCGUGGACCUCUGAGUCCAUGAUGGAAUUUUGUACUGGUGUGUGGUGAGGUACUGCUUGGUUGGUGCAUCAAUUAGACUCCAUUGAAAAACGAUUUUCCCAUAUGGGCAGUUUAUGCUAGUUUGGUCUGGAGAAUUCUGUGGUCUCCUAGUGAACAUGCAUACUCCACAAAAAUCCUUUUUUUACCUGGUCAUCUAUUAAAACACUUGGGUAUGGAUAGUGCUCCAUACUUUUUUGGAAAAUGACUUCCACCUUGAAUAAGUGCUUCUUUGUAAGUGUUGUCUGUGGAUGCUUGGUAGUGCAUCUAUUGGUAAUCGACAUUACAUGCAGCAAAAUCAGCAACAAUCCCUAGAAGUUAUAGGUUUUCUUUCUCUCUUUUCAUAGGUGGUAAUUUAUUGAAAUAAGUAGGUGAAGUCUAGCUUCAACGGAAAAACAAGCAAGGCCACGUGCAACAAAGGGAAGUUGGGUGUACAUGGGGUGGUUUAGUUCCCUUUUCAGGCAAAAAACGGAGUCAAUCCGGGUGUUGUAGGUUCAGAGGGAGGGAGGGAUGGAUUUGGGUGCUUUUGAGUUGUCUAGGAAAUGUGGAUGUGUAGCAUGUGCCUAUUAUAAAGAUGAGCAGUGGGUGAUAGGUUUGCCAGGACAAUUAAAUUGUCAGAAACUUCGAUCACUGGGAUAAGACUCUGUGUUAAGUUUCAUAAGGCUUUUGAAGAGGCAAAACCAGAGAGGAAUGAAGAAGAUGCAAUGAGAUGGCAAGCCACCAGGAAAGGUUUUUGCUUGAUGGUGGAAUCCUUUUACCACCUUUUGACUUUAGCACCUAGGGAAAAUUUAAAACCAAAUUUACUUGGAGCGUGAGAAUAAUGUCAACAUCAGUUGUACCCAUGGAUAAUUGGUUGGGUGGUUAUUUUCUUUGGCACUGCGGUGUGGAUAUGGAAAAAGAAAAAAUCACGAGAAACACAGAGUUUACAUAAGUUAUUCAGUGGAGUAGAGACAAGAUCCCAAGAUGCUGACUGUCAAUUCUGAUUUGCGAGGGCUUCACAACAGUUUUAGGGAUCUCUCUUUAUCCUUAUAUGCCAUAACAUUUGUAAAGGAAAAUGACCCAAAAGCUAAAACUCCAGGAAGCUUCUUGAACGUUUGAGUGAAACCUCAUUAACCAAAGAAAAGCCUCUGAGGUACCCAUGAUAACACACACUGAACUAAGCAACAUGUAAUUUCUCGAAUUAGUUCUCAUUUUUGCUGUGCUGUUGUUGGAUAUGGUUAGGUGGGAUUCGCAUUUGUAUUACAGAAUGAGUAUGUGGUGAGACAUGCAUUUGUUCCAUUGGUAGCUGCAUAAUGAUACUGAAACAUUUUUACUGCCGGCAAGGUGAUGCAGAUUUCCUCUUGAAUUUGCCUUUAUGCUUGCAUACAUGAGAGAAUUUUGACUCUUAUUCUCGUUUUUUUCUCCUAACAAGUAACAAGAUCUAUAUAUUUUCUUAAAUAAGGCAAAGCUUGCGUUGGACAGCCUUGAAGUUGCAGUUGGGUAAGACACUGGUUUUCAGUAACCAGGUGCAUUGCAUAUAUGUUACUUUAUUUUCUAAUUAAGAUGAUUAGUAUUUCAGUCUUAAUAAGUGAAUGAUUUCAUAUUGGACUUGAUUGAACAGCUGUGUGAUUGUCGAGGAUGGGAACGUUAUUGCGGCAGGAAGAAACCGGAUAACGUCCCGCGAGUCCGGCCCACAGGGACAACAGGAGCAGAGGAGCCUGUCGUCAUGAUGAGAUUUCGUGCCGUUUUCCCAAAUCUCAGAUGCUCUUGCACAUGUUCAUUCCCUUCUUCAUGGCUCAGUUCAUCCGAAACCUGCACCCAUCCCUCCAAGGGCUUGUUCAGACAUGCGGGUCAUGCGACCCGUGACAGUCCCACAGUCUCUGGACACCUUAGGAACGAAAGCCCAGAUGAAACUCGAGAGGUUUUGGACAAAUUUCAAUGCCUAGAUGUUCGUUCAUUUACGAAGAUGAUCGUGGAUCGCGUGCGAACUGGCCGCCUUGAUGACGCCCUGAAACUGUUCUACCAAAUGCCCGUGAGAGAUGCAAUUUGCUGGAACACGAUGAUCAAAGGCUGCUUGGACUGCAUGGACUUGACGGCGGCAGAAGAGCUUUUCGAUGAAAUGCCUGAACCAGGUGUUGUUUCGUGGAACGACGAUGAUAGAUGAGUUCUUUCGAUUUGGACAGGUUGAGUGGGCAGAGGUAUUUUUCAAGCAGAUGCCCAUAAGAGAUCUUGCUGCAUGGAAUGCAAUGAUUCAUGGGUAUUGUGAGAAUGCCAGAGUGGAUGAUGCUGUGAAAUUGUUUGAGCAAAUGCCUUCCCGAAAUGUGAUCUCAUGGACUUCAAUGAUUGGUGGGCUUGACCAAAACGGUAAGAGUGAAGAAGGAUUAAAUGUAUUUGAGAGAAUGUUCAAGUCUGGUGUUGUGCCCAAUCUGAGUACUUUGAUGUGUGCAUUGAGUGCAUGUGCAAAUGCAUUGUCUUUCCCUCUUGGCGUGCAGAUUCAUGGUCAUAUUCUUAAGUCAGGAUUCUGCCUUCGCGUAUUUGUAUGUGCUUCUCUUAUCACGUUCUAUGCUAACUGCAAGCGAAUUGAAAGAGCGACCCAAGUCUUCUAUGAAGCAGUGCAUAGGAAUGUGGUCAUAUGUACGGCUCUUUUAACUGGUUAUGGCUUGAAUGGUAGGCAUGAAGAUGGCCUAAAGGUGUUCAGUGACAUGAUGAGUACAAAGUGUUCUUCCUGAUCAAUCUUCAUUUGUAAGCACUUUAAAUUCUUGCUGUAGUUUAGAGUCUCUAGAUCAAGGUAAGGAGGUCCAUGCUUCAGCUGUAAAGCAGCAAUUGGGAAGUGAUGUAUUUGUUAGCAAUUCUCUUGUAGUCAUGUAUAGUAAGUGUGGAAUGCUUCACCUGGAAUGCCAUUAUUUGCGGGUGUGCACAACAUGGCCAAGGGAUGUGGGCUAUGGAGUUGUUUAGCCAAAUGAUACGCGGAGUGGUACAACCAGAUGAGAUCACACUCACGGGACUGCUUUCUUCGUGUAGUCAUUCUUGAACUUUCUUGUCAGUAUGAGUAUGGAAAUUACUCAACCAACAGCACAUUUGAAUCAAACUGAAGCUCCUUGAUUCACUAUUGUACAACACUGCAACAACGGGAUUCUACAACACUACUGUCGGAGAAGGCCUUAACCGAAUUUGUGGACAAGCUCUUUGCCAAGGAGACGCCAGUUCUGCAGCGUGUGAGGGCUGUGUCAGCAAUGCAAGCCAAGAGAUCAUGAACCUGUGCACUGCUGAAGAUGCACUAAUUUGGUAUGAAUUAUGCCAAGUACGCUAUUCCUUCCAAGAUUUCUUUUCGAAGAUGGUUUAUACUGGAAAAUACCCGGAUUCAGAUUAUCGGGAGAAACUUGCAUCUGACCCAGCCCGUUUCUAUACCUACUUGAUGUAUCUAAUGAAGAAUAUAUCCAAUGAGGCUGCGUAUGUUAACACUACUCAAAUGUUCGCGAUGGGGAAAAUAAAUAAAUCUGUGAGCCAGACAAUAUAUGGGCUAGUGCAGUGUACUAGGGAUAUGUCUGACAAGGACUGUGACAGUUGUUUGGACUCUGCCUUGGCAGAUCUAAGAGCAUGCUGCUAUACCCGGGAAGGUGGAAUGGUUGUUAGCAGAACUUGCAAUGUGAGUUAUGAGCUGUACCACUUUUUCAAUGGCUCGACAACUUCUACGUUAUCUUACCCAGCCUGCACAGGUAAGAAAAUGAAAUCUAUUGGAAAUUAGUAGGAAAAGAAAGCUAUAGUUAUCGCUGCAAACUUAACUUCUAUGCUUAUAUAUGGUUAGAACAAAAUCGAAAAAUAACGAUUAAAUUCACUGGCAUGAUGGAUUCUUUAGCUUUGAAUGUUGACAGAGGAGAUUUCUACAAGGGUCCAAGAUCCUAGAAAAUUGUUUACACCCUUAUUUUUAUUUCAGUCCCCUACGAAGAGGUCAACUUUUAGCAACUCAUUUUCCUGGUCUGGCUCUGUUUUCUCAGUAUUUCUGUUAGUAGCUUAGGUUGCUUUCGUUCAGUGAGUGCAGUCUCUAGUGAAACUUAUAUCAUAGAGAAUCUGAAGAGACUUAGCUUAUAUAUCCUUCACAAUGGCUAAAGCCAAAUAUGCAGGAAAAUUACUGAGGCAAUCUACUUAAGCUGAAAAGUUCUAAUUAGCCUCUUUAUUAUUGUAGGAUGCACUUCACAAUUGGCAUAGACAUUAAAUCUCUCUCCAUAGCCUAUUGAUACUUCAGGAUGUUAUCCAUAUAUUAAGAUAUUUAUUCAACUUACGAGGAAAACAGGGGAUAAAUGGAAGAAAGGGAUGAUUGGCCUAGUCAUUGGUGUCCUGGGACUCCUAUUAGCUGUUCUUGCCAGAUCUUGCGCCCUCUACUUCAACCGGAGAAAAGAAAAACAAGGUAUAUAUGAGAAAAUGGAUGUUUUAAUUCAUACCUUUUUUGAGAGCUAAUCCAGACUCGAGUACCUUCAGACCUGGAAAGAAGCCGCGUGCUUUGCUUAAUGAUUUAACAAAUCCAGUCCAAGUGGAAAUUACUGAAGAAGGCAACCUGGUUAGCUCUGAAGAACUUCCUUUCAUGGAUGUAGCCACACUAAAGGCCGCUACAGAUGACUUCUCAAGUUCAAAGAAGCUCGGGCAAGGGGGGUUCGGUACUGUCUACAAGGUAAUUUAUCCAUUGCUGUCAGUUUGCGAUUGUUGUCUGUUGAAGUCCAGUAUGUGGAGGGCUUAACCGAAUUAGCUUUCAGGGUUUGCUUUCUGAUGGAAAAGAAGUAGCAGUUAAAAGGUUGUCGAGGAAGUCUUGGCAAGGUCUCAAGGAGUUCAAGAAUGAGGUCAUCUUGAUUGCAAAGCUCCAGCACAGAAAUCUAGUGAGGCUUCUAGGAUGCAGCAUAGAGGGAGAUGAAAAGCUGCUUGUAUACAAGUUCAUGCCUAACAAAAGCCUCGAUAUCUACAUCUUCGGUGAAUUCUUGUGUCCUCCAACUUAGAACUCAUUUACUUAGAAUUUGUGCAUGUUGUAAAUUGUCCUCAUUAUUAACCUUUUUUGCAUGAUGCCCUUAUCUCCAGAUUCGGACAAACGUGCACAGCUUGAUUGGUGCACAUACGUUUCUAUUAUUGAUGGAAUUGCUAGAGGACUAGUUUACCUGCAUGAGGACUCAAGACUUAGGAUUAUUCAUAGGGAUCUUAAGCCUAGCAAUGUUCUGCUGGAUCAUGAAAUGGUUGCCAAGAUAUCGGAUUUCGGGAUGGCCAGAAUAAUUUGCGAAAACCAAAGUUUAGCUAAUACAAGAAGAGUCGUGGGAACACAGUGAGUCUGCUUCUUCUGAUUUUGUUCAGCUAGAAAAUCUAGGAGUUUCUUGUUCUUUCCAAGGAAAACACUCUACUUGGUUCUUCAUUAAGAAGGUACUAAAUAGAAAAGACUAAUGCCAACUUUCAUACUUGUGACAGUGGUUAUAUGGCCCCAGAGUAUGCAAUGGGGGGACUAUUCUCUGUAAAAUCAGAUGUGUUCAGCUUUGGUAUCAUUUUGCUUGAGAUCAUCAGCGGAAAACGAAGUAGUGGAUUUUAUCUUACAGAACAUGCUCAGACACUUCUUGCAUAUGUAUGUUCAACAUUUCACGGGAAUCAAAAUCAUGCCUUUUAAUCAUGUUUUGAGCUGAAAAUACUCGGUGUCUGCCAAUCAUUCAUUUUGCACCAAAAUCAAUUUUAUCUUGCAGGCGUGGAAACUAUGGACUCAAGGACAAGAGUUGGAACUCGUGGAUCCUUCUCUAGCAAAAUCAGGCUCAACAGCUGAAAUAGUCAGGUGCAUUCACAUUGGGCUCUUGUGUGUACAGGAAGAUCCUGAAGAUAGACCAACAAUGUCGGAAAUAGUGACACUUUUGGGAGGUCAAAAAGGAACUCCUCCGGAACCAAAAAAACCGGCAUUUUCAGUUGAUAGAUUAGUUCAAGAACUCAAUCAAUCAUCGGCAACUAAUCUUUCUGUCAAUCAGAUGACUGUUUCUAGUAUCUUGCCUAGGUGAACAAGCACGUAUAUUGAGUAAGGUUUCAUUUGCCCACGGUUGUAAGAUUCUGCACUGAAUAGAGGAACUUGUCGUGUUUUGGAAAUAUUACUAUGCUCAUGAAAAUCAUUGUAUAAACAAUCGAGACAAUUGCACAUGGAGAAUGUCGAUUUGGUGACGAAAAGAAAUUGCAUAAAUUGUGGGGACCCAUGUAACCAUAGGUGGAUCAAUGAAAAUUCUGUAAAUCAGAGGCUCCAUACAUUUUCUUGAACUGAAGCAGCGUCCGUGCAAUUGGGCUUUUCUCUAAUAGAACGCCAGUUCAUUCCAAGUUUUGGAUGUUGAUAAUGGUCACUACAGCAUGGGACUUAUAGAGUCUAGUGCAGGAGGGAAAUAUUUGUUCCCUUACUAAUGGUCAAUUGGCUAUUGAAUCCUCCUCUUUUUUUCUUUUUUGGGCCUUUCUCUUCCUGAUAUGAUUAAUAGUAAGACGAAGAUAGACGAGCAAGAUCACUAAUAGCCCUGUCAUCGACAGUCACAACUUACAGGAUUCACAACAUGGCAUUAAGAGAUUAUGCCAAACUGGAGUCGAAUACGAGACAUCUUGAUUCGCAAAUUGUUAGGUCCGAGUUGCCAAGUCUGAAUCAUCACUUUCACGAAUUAGCUCAACUUGUUCCUUGGAUUGAGUUGCCAUUAAAAAAUCCCUCAACUAACACAUUUUUUUAUAAUGACAGAACCUUAUAUUAGUAGACUAAAGAGAAGAAGACAAGUCUUGUAUUGGUAGUAUGAAGAUGAAAUUUCCUUGGGGUUGGCUAUUGUCACGACCUUUUUUUCGAUGCCCAAUCAGGGAGGGGCGGCUGCGGAGGCUAACGGUUUGGCUAGAUCUAUUAGGUAUAGUCUGAGUUCUCCCAAACCCACAAAUUCACAACUUAAUGGUUUAAUAUUUUUAUCUAUAAGUUAAGAAGUUGCCACUAAUCAAUUUAGGAUAAGUCGAUUAGAAACCCAAGCAAAAUAUCAAGAGAAAUACUCGCUUCUGCACAAUCAAAGAAAAUAGAUUUGAGGACUUGAUUAUACUAGUCAAUCUCUAAUACCUUUUAGGUAUCUAAUUGGUUAUACUGGUCAAUCAUUAAUAUCUUUUAGGUACCUAAUCUUCUUUAAAUCCUAAAAGUUUUUUUUUUUUUGGAUUUUUAAGGGGUUUUCCAUACAUUCGUGGGGGAAAAAUAAUCUUUGGACCUUUUUUUAUUAUUUUUUGGAUGAAUUUUUUUUUUUUGGAUUUUUGAUCUUUUUUUAAAAAGAUAAAUCAUUUUUGGCUUUUUUUUCUGAUUUUUUUGUGCUUUUUUGGUAAAAUAUGAGAUAUUUUUGAUAUUUCUGAUUUUUUGUAAAAUAAAUUAUUUUUUACUAUUAAAAUAUUUUUUAUUAAAAUAAUAUAAUACUAUGAACGACCCAGGUCGUAUUCCUGGGUUGGGCUCGACCCGGGUCGCCUACCAACUGCCUAGACAGGCCUGCCGCACGGGCCCAAAUCCGGUUUCCUCAACCCAUAAAGUUGGCCCACGAAUUUACCGAAGCCCUAUCCGGUUGAGAUCCACGCCCAACCCGGUUUUUUGAGAUCCACGCCCGACCGCGACCCGAUGGACGACCCUCUCCUUGCUCGCGGCUGAGGCGUCGCUGGGCAGACGGACGGCGACAACGAUGGCGAUGAGCAGCUCAACUUACAGCGGCGGGCCACUCAACGAGGCGGCGUCACAGUACGGCAGCAGCAAGCGAAGCUCGCGUCGAGGGACCGGCGGUCGUGACGGCGAGGUGGCAGGCGGUGUCGGAGGACGGUGGCUCGUCUUGAGGCGUCUGGUGGCGGAACAGCAGCGACGGGCGACGGCGAAGUGGAGCCACGCUACGAGGGAGCGCCAGCGACCCCGGCUGGCGUCGGUCCGGUGAGCUCAGCUCGGCGAUGGUGAAGUAGCGACGGACGGCGGCUCGAGGUUUGCCGAGGACAGUAAGGCGACGGCAUCGGAGGGGUGGAGGCGACUGCAGGGAGCGACGGUCGCGAGGGGCAGCGAAGGCGGGUCCUUAGCUUCUCAGACCUGGUCCUCCAUCCUCCAGGUCUGACCCUUUCCCUUCUCUCUCCAGGUUCGCUCGCCGCUCGGCCCUGGCUUCACCAACGAGUUCCUCCAGUCUUCCUCCGACCAGAUCUGGAUCCCAGGGUUGGCCGGCUCUCGGACCUCCUCCGAUGUCUCUCGGAGGAAGUGAUUGGAGCUGGCUACCUCGGAUCCCUGCUUGGCCGUGGUUUGGCCUUUCUCCGACUCCCUAUUAUUUAUACGCGGGGGAAGGCCUGUCGACGUAGGUCCGGCCGACGGUCCUUUGCGCACCGAAUGGCCUCCGCUAGCUGAACAUCCCAUCCGUUGAGGUGACUCUAGCUAGGCCUACGUUCUAGCUAGGUCUCCUCUCGCAUUGGAGACGCGUCCCUUUCGCCUGCCUGCAGCGUCGUACAUCGCCAUCCUCUUUUGACUUCCGGCGUGGCGCGCACCCGGCCCUUAGAGGGCCCACGUGAGGACCCAGCCCCAAUAGGCUGCGUUUUUUUGUUUGUUGUUUAUUAUUAUUAUUAUUUUUAUUAUUAACUUAUCAAAAAAGGAAAACUAAGGAUUAAAUGAGAGAUUAAGACCUAAUUUAAAAGUUUAAUUAAAAUUUAGGUGGCAACAGCUAUGUCCUAAUAAUUUACGUACGCUACUUGACUACUUUGAAUUCCUAAAUGUAUUCUUUAUUCAUACCCCACUACUUGUGUUUUCUUUUGAGUCUUCUCAUGUGGCAAUUUUCUAAUCCUAACUAACCACCAGUCGAGCGUCAAUCCCAGUCACACGUUUUGGAACCCAUCUCUCUAAUUCCUGUGGUUGCUACUUUUUACGCCUGUAGACCCCUUUCAUUAGUCAGAGUCAAAGUUGGUCCACCAAUAGGAUGCUUCGACGCAUUUCCAUACCAUUCCCACUCAAGACCAGAACGGAAGUCUUGGUCUUCUAUCAGGCUUCAUUGUAAAACACUUGCAUUGACCCGAUUUGCGUUGGACCGAGUUCAUGAGCGGCCUACUUAUGAAUUCGUUGUACUUUGUGGGGAGGGCAUCAGAUCUUGAUUGUGCGCCUAAUCCCAACGCAAAUCUGUUUCUUAACCACUGCCUUGUGGGGAGGGUUUGUGCCAUUGCCUACAGAUGCCAGUCUCAAAUACCAAACAAACCAUGAAGCGUGAAGGUUGUGCUUUCUUCAGGAAUCCUGCUGAUGGCUUGAAUCAAUGACUCUGUAGAGAGGUGAUAACUCAGAAUUGGAGUACACUUGAGAAAUGAUCACCUUGUUUCGUUCUCGGGUGGUCUCGAGCACUGUCCUACUGCUUUUUUUUAAUUGUCUUCUUCAUGGAUUUCGGAACCUGGUUCUGGCUGAUAUCCCUGAAAAGCUCUGCCCCGACAACAGUUCAUAUGCCACAAACAGUGCAUAUCACGACAACCUCAUUGAGCUCACUUCUUCUAUGCAAAAGAAUGCUUCUUCCUCCAAGUUUUUCCAGGACUCGUCCGGGAACUACCCAAGUAAAGUUUAUGGUCAAUACAUGUGCCUCAACUAUGUCUCCAAUUCAACAUGCAAAACUUGCAUAGCCAAGGGAUCGGAAGACAUCCAGAAGCUUUGUCCAAACAAGAUGGAAGCAGCUGUUUGGGAGGAAGAUUGCCAGUUGCGCAUAUCCAGCCAAGAAUUUUUUGGCCGUCUGACUGAAGGAAACAAGCAUCAAUUCAAUCCGAAAAAUACAUCCGACCCUGUCAAGUUCGGGUUGGUGGUGAAUGAAACUUUAAGCUUUCUUGCCCAGAAAGCAGCUCUCGAGUCUCCAGCGACUCACUAUGCUACCAAGGAAAAGAAUUUUGAAUUGGACUCGAAUGAGACUUUACAUGCUCUUGUUCAGUGCACUGCGGACUUAACAGCACAUGAUUGUCACAAGUGCCUCCAAGAAGCAAUAAGUUAUGUGAGGGAUUGCUGCUAUUUUUCGAUCGGAGCAAGAGUUCUAAGUCAAAGUUGCUACUUGAGAUAUGAGUUAUAUGAUUUUUAUGAACCAUCCGAGCCUGUGAAGAAGUCUGGUAAGGUUAUGCCAAAACUUUUACCUGUUAUUGUUCUUCUCCUCACUAAGUCUGUAGUUAAUAUCAGAAUUGAUUUAAUCUGUGAAGAGGCUGCAACUUUUUCUUCUCAAAAGCAGGGAAAAAGUCGUGGAUCAAAGCUUUCACAAUUUCAUCGCUCUGCUUGGUGGCAAUCAGUUUGUGUUCUUGGAUUUUCUUCAUCAUCAUCAAAAGUAACAAUCUUUAUCCUAAUGGUGAUUUGUUUGCCCUCCCCAAAUUCCAACAUAUUUGAGACUCAUCAUGUUUGAUUCCAGGGAAGAAAGACCUUGCAGGUAGACAAGGUCGACCUCUGCUUACCAGUGAUUCUGCUCAUGGUAUUCUUCCAUUCCAACACACCCCAGUAAACACUCUUACUAAAGUUCAAGAUCAUCCAUACUUUGAUAUGAGAUGCAUACUCGCAGCUACCAACAACUUCUCAGAUACACUAAAACUAGGACAAGGUGGAUUUGGUCCAGUUUACAAGGUAGCAAUAGUUCGAACAAAAGCCAAUGUUGGUUGGCAAAUUUAAAAUAGAUACUCUUGCUUUUCUGGUUUUUGUUAAGUAGUUUCUCGUUUUUUAUUGACAGGGCAUUUUAUGGGAUGGGAGAGAAGUUGCGGUGAAGAGGCUAGAGAGCUGGUCAGAGAAGGGUUCCGAAGAAUUCAGAAACGAAGUCCUACUAAUAAUGAAACUUCAACAUAAGAAUCUUGUCAAGCUUCUGGGAUUUUGUGCAGAACGAGAGGAGAAGUUGCUUGUCUAUGAGUAUAUGCCAAAUAGAAGUCUUGAUGUCUUUCUCUUUGGUAUGUACCAGUCCUGCUGUGUCUCUUGGAUAACAUGCUCAACAUAUUUAUCCUACAUUUGAUGACUUCUUUUUUUGGUAUAGAUGCACAGAGAAGGAUCGAGCUGAGUUGGAGCAGACGUCUGAACAUGAUCAUUGGCAUUGCUCGAGGGGUGCUAUAUCUUCAUGAGGAUUCUCGUCAAAGAAUCAUCCACAGAGACCUCAAAGCAAGCAAUGUGUUAUUGGAUUGCAACAUGAACCCAAAAAUCUCAGACUUUGGACUGGCAAGGAUCUUUGCAGGAACAGAAAAUGAAGCAAAUACUGCUACAUUAGUUGGAACCUAGUAAGUAAAUUUUAAGGCAUUUCAGUUUCCUUCACAGGACUCAGAUGAUGUUUGAGAGUUCUUUUAAGUGAUAAAUCUCGGCACUUUUAGUUCAGACUCUAUGCUGCUUCAUUUUGCCACAAGCUCACAUUUUAUUCUCUACCUAGUGGUUACAUGGCGCCAGAGUAUGCAAUGGAGGGGUUAUAUUCCAUAAAAUCAGAUGUCUACAGCUUUGGAGUUCUCUUGCUUGAAAUAAUAACAGGGGAGAGAAAUGCCGGCUUUUGGCAGUCAAGACAUGCCUCGAGUCUCCUAGCCUAUGUAAGUUAUGACUUGAUUACACAUCCAGUUUCAUUUUAUUCGCCCAAUUAAGACUUAAUAAAUUCGAAAAGAAUCCUAAGUGACAAAUGUUUGAGGUCACAACAACACAAUUUGGAAGAUCAGUCAGUAAAAUACAACAAAUGUGCUAUGGCAUUGGACUUCUAAAUCUCCAAUUUUUGCUUAUGCUUGUUCUCUCGGACCUCGGUCAUGGAAUCAGUGGCUCCUUUUGUGCAUAUUGACGAAUAUUACUAGUUGCAUUGUGCAAUGUUGGUCCGUUACAUCUUUCUUCUUUGUAAUUCCCAGUUGGUGUUAGCAUUAUAAAUGAUCGGAUGACAAAACUUGCAGGCUUGGCAACUAUGGAAUGAAGGAAGAGCAAUGGAGUUGAUGGAUCCAUUGCUGCACAAUGAGUGUUGUCCAGCAGAAUUCCUGAAAUGUGUCCAAGUCGGACUUUUGUGUGUUCAAGAAGACGCGUUUGACAGGCCAACCAUGUCCGCUGUCAAUGUGAUGCUCAAAAGGGAUGCUGUAAUUCUCCGUCAACCUUUCAAACCCGCCUUCUCGGUCGGCAGAUUCACUCAUCAUUCCAAUGGACAUGUUGAAGACGAUAAUUGUUCCGUUAAUAGCUUGACAGUUUCUGCUGUGGCACCUCGGUGAGAAAAGUCUACCCUAGGAGAUAAGCACGGUUCUUUGCCCAAGUAUACUGCUUGGACAUGGUAACGUCUACACUAGUUACUCAUUAAAGAACCGGUUCUUAACCAUAAGCUGUUUAAUCAUGUGAUGUUGUCUAUCUUGGCUUGGAAGACUUCACGUUGAGGACCUUAUCAUUCUCCAACCUUCCUCGUUGAUUUUUGCGGCUCUUGAGCUGGAAAUUAAAGCUCCUUAUGUGAAUCCAUGUUCUCCUAGCAUAAGACGGAAAAAAGAAGAAGAGAGAGUUAGUCUAUGCCCUAGAUAAGGUUAUCUCAUUGUACUAUGAGUUCUCACUGAACUAUGUCCAAUCUUUGUGCGGUUUAUCUAUCCUCUCUAUUUGUAGAGUCAAUAUCAUCAUUAGGAUUUUUAGUCAUUCUGUCUUUUGUUAUAUAUGCAAUCAACUCCAUCAUCGCAUCAUUUCCUGUCAUUCUUCUUGAAUUCGAAAGAAUAACUCGCUCUCUUUCUCAACAAAAGAAAAUGGAACCAAAAAAUAAAAAAGAUGUCGGUCGAGAUAGCAGUCUCUUGACAACUCACUCUCUGUGGUAAACCAUAAGUAAAGCUAAAGCUAAUCACACGUGGGACAUUUGCUUGGAUAUGUUGGCAUUAAAGCUGGGUUCAAAAUCUUGUGCUUGCGUAUUUGCGAGAAGCUUGGAAUUUGGUUUUGCACUAGCAAAAUGUUCGUGAUAUAAAUUCCAUUACAGGUAUGACAUUUGAGUUCUAAUAAAAGGGUAAAGAGGGAUACUUUUACUGAUUAAGAUUCAGAGGCUGUUUGGUUGUGAAUUACUCAGUAUGAUGCUACCUUGCUGUGAAUUCGCUCUCUCCAAGGCGCUCGAGCUCCAUUACUAACAUACCGAGGGCCAACCAGACUUAUGCAUCAAGUUUAAUAAUGCGACCUCUCAAAUCCACAUGAAGAGGAGGUCAUUAUAUACUAUAUAAGCAAUAAUAUAUAUAACCAAACUUCGUAGAAGACAUCGUACAGAACAACGAUAAGUCAGGUGAACUCCAAGCAAUUAAACCAAAGUUGACAAAAGAGCCGCGCACAACGCUUCACUUCGCUGUGUUUUUACCACCCGACGCUUUUUCACUCUUGGCGCAAUCAGCAACUUCCAUCGAAGUUCGAGGGGCUCCCGUGCAGCCCAUUCCGGCUUGUGUCUUCUCCCAUGGUUGGCACACAUUUCCAAGUUGAGCAUUGAAGCACUUCCAUCAAUGCACUUGACCCGUCAUGCUCGAACAAAAAUGUCAUUCGCGUGAAGGUUAUGACUCAUUCCAAACGGACAAAUUCGAAUAGAAUGACCUCUCCCAGUAGCAUCCGUUGGUAGAUCAGACAGGAGAAAAGACUACGGCCAAAAACAGGGGUCGAGGCACACGAAGUUUCGGGAUAUUUAAUGACUCUCCUUCGAGCGGGAACGAAGUCAAGCGAGUUAAAAAUCCUAGCCGUCACUUUUGAAAAGCAUGUCCGCUAAAGACCAUGUUAAAGGACUAUUGCCUUUUCUCACUGGUUUGCAUGUCGUCUCCGCUGAACCCAGACGUGUGACUCACAUAAAGCCAAAAAAUAACGAUGGGUCUUUGGAUAAUCCUAAGUUUUUUUAAUUAAUUAAACUUUGACAUGUAUUAAGAUGAAUUUGGAUAAUGUUCCUUCACUUUAGAAGGAAAGCUAAAAUCCUGUUGGUCUAAUUCCAUUUCAGAAAAAUGAAAUAUUCUUGGUCUCCUAAGUCUUUCAUCUUAUGUCAACUUCAAGCUGCGACAGUGAAGCUUCUAUUUGCUUUCUUGCCAGGAAAAGUAAAACAAAGAACUCUCUUUCGCUGGAAUUUUUUAAUAAUUCCACUCUUGACCAGCUGGAAGAUUCUCUGCUCACUUUCACCAUUCUAAAUUGUCACCAUGCGAUGGACCUUUCAACUCCAGAGGAUAUUUCUUCCCUCGUUGUUUAUGGAAAUCAAUCCCAGUUAGUGCCUUCUCAUGGGUCUAGAAUUGCUGUUUCGACCCAAGAAGAUGGCACGAGAUUCGAAUCUUGUCACCUUUUUCCUGUUCGUAGUAUCGAUUUUGUUUUUUGUCACACCCAUUUAUGGAGACAAUCCUCUGGAUUUGCUUUGCCGACCUGAAAAUGGCAAUUACACUUUUGGCAGUCCAUUCAGGAAUAACCUCGAACAGCUUCUUCUGGGCAAUUUGGCUUCUAAUACUGCAAAGAAAGGCUUCCUCAGCAGUUCUACUGGGGAUGGCACUGAUGAAGUGUUUGGUCAAGCACUUUGCAGGCGUGAUGUGAAUAGGAGUGCUUGUGGGGAUUGCGUCAGGAUUGCAAGCCAAGAGAUCAUGAAUAAGUGCAAUAAGAAAGAUGCUGAUAUUUGGUAUGAAUUUUGCCAGAUAUCUUAUUCUUAUAGUAAUUUCUUUUCCGCGAUGACUUACCAGGGACAGUACCCAGAUAGUAAUAAUCAGAAGCAGGACGUAUCUAAUCCGGAAGAGCUGAGCAGUGCCCUGAACAAGUUGAUGGAUGGUCUUAUAAGUGAGGCCCCAUGGGCUUCGUCCAUGUUUGCAGUGGGCAGUUCAAACUUCCCGAGCCAAGGACAUGUUUACGGCCUCGUGCAGUGUACAAGAGAAAUCUCUGGCGGUGAUUGUAAUACCUGUUUGGUGUCAGCUUGGGGGGAUCUGAGAACAUGUUGCUCUCUUCAUCAAGGUGGAACCGUUGUCAGCAGAUAUUGCAACGUGAGGUUCGAGCUUUACCGCUUCUAUAAUCAGCAUUCUGAAGGUAAUUAAUUCGGAUUAUUUUCUUAGACUGUGUUGUUGGUCGUGGAGUACCGAUGCCUGUUGAAAUUAGAAAUUAGAUCUGGAAAACUACCAAUGAAGGUAUCUUCUGUAUGUUUCCUGGGUUGAGAGUUUUAUGGAGACAGCCAGAUGAAGAAUUGCACAUAUCAUAGUAACAAAGGGCCUGCAUGGAAACACUCAUUGUUUCUGUUUCUGAACAAUUUUUUUGUUUUUUUGUUCCUGUGAACAAAAAAAGAACAGAAAUGCGUUUGGUUACGUUUCUAUUCUUUUUUUGUUUUUUUUGUUCCAGAAACAAAAUUGAAACAAAAAAAAGAAACAAAAAAAACUUACUUCUUGUUCCAGAAACAAUUUUGAAGAAACACUUCUUCUUCUCUCUCUUAUCUUUUCUUCUUCUUUUCUUAUUCUUUUUUUUUUGACCGGUCGCCGGCCUCGGCCAUGGUCGGCGACCGGCCGUCGAGGGCCGGCGACACCGUCGAGGGUCGGCGACCUCGAUGGCCCCCGGCGAGGCUGAGCAUCACCGGCCCUUGGUGAGGCUCGGCCUUGCCGUGCCUGGGUGAGGCUGCCGGCCCCGUCAGCCGGUCGCCGGAGGCCGGUGACCGGCCAAAAGAAGAAAAAAUAAAAAAGAAAGGAAAAAAUUAAAAAUAAAAUAAAAAUAUUAAAAAAUUAAAAGAAACAAAAAAAAUAAAAUUUACCAAACGUGUUUCUAUUCAUUUUUUAUUCCCGGAACAAAUUUACCAAACGCAUUUUUCUGGUAAAAAAUUGUUCCCUGGAACAUAAACAUUUUUUUUUUUAUUUCUAUUUUCUGGAACAAAAAAAGAGCAAAAACAUUACCAUGCAGCCCCAAAAUCUUGUUAAAAGUUGUCAACUAACCAUGAGUUUACUAUUCGGCGAGAAACAUAACUGUUCACGAGGACUGAGUGGUACUGAAGCUCGGUCAUCUAAGUGAGGAUAGUAAAAUCAACUAUGCACGAGGAAAUCCUUUGUUUCCAUGUGAUUCAUUCUAAAUAAACAACUUUUCAUAUGAAAGUUCUCGUAUUGAGUUUUUAUUGGAUAUAAUGGAUGUAUCAGAAUUCACCUACUUAUAGUAGAUUAAGUACAAAAUACGCAAGAUAUAAAUUUUUCAGUGCAAAAUUUUUUUACAACAGAGUUUCUAUGACAACGGAAGGAUUGGAUUGGCCCGAUGAAUGACCAGCUGUCGUAAAGAAUUUUACUGACCUGAUUAGAUUCCAAAACAUUUGGUAAUUCUUUAUUAGUUGGCUUGAUGAAAAGUCCUGUUGGAAAUCUUGAUUCAUGAGCUGAUCCUAACUGUUUCUAUUAUUUUUGUAAAAUUUCCUUGCUGACUGCUCGAGUACUGCUCGAGUUCUCUCUGUGCGAGUUGGAAAUUGGAUUUUUAACAUUUCUUAAUUAUUUGAUGAUGACAUUGUAGGCUUGGGGAAGAAAAGAAUAAUUUUGUUGGUCAUAUGUAUUCUGGCUGGGGCAUUGCUAGCUUCCCUUGGGGUUUGGGUUGCCCGUCGAAGAUGGAAAAGGAGAAUGACCAGAGGUAUGUCAAACAAGUUAGUUUCAGUUGCUAACUGAUAUCUUGGACAGUGUUGAUGACAAUAAUUCGGAUCUUUGUUGUCUUUUUUGGUUUCCCAGAUGAAGAGAGAGACGAAAAUGAAUUGAUCCAGGAAUUGCCGAAGCCCAUUGAACUAUCCAUUUCAAGAGGGGAUCUAGAAUAUUCUGAUGAUAUGUUUGUCAUGGAUUUGGUAACUCUGAGGGCUGCCACAGCUAACUUUAGCCUUACAAACAAGCUCGGACAAGGCGGGUUCGGCAUUGUUUACAAGGUUAAAUAUUCCAUGGGAUCAUAUUCAAUUUGGUUGGAAGAGGUUCCCACAAAAACAUAAACUGAUGACUAAUCUUUAAGUUGUUUCAGGGAAUUCUACCUGAUGGAAACGAAAUAGCAGUCAAGAGGCUGUCGAUGAAGUCAUGGCAGGGCGUAGAAGAGUUUAAAAACGAAGUCACGCUCAUUGCAAAACUCAAACACAAAAAUCUGGUGAGGCUUUUGGGUUGGGGCAUAGAUGGACAUGAGAAGCUACUCAUAUAUGAAUACAUGGCCAACAAAAGCCUCGACGUCUUCCUCUUUGGUUAGUCACAGUAUAGUCUGUUUUCUCUCACAAGUAGACCACACUCCUAUUGUCUUUACACAUUCAAUGAAAAUUGUGUCAGCUACUGCUUUUCAGACCCAAUGAAGAGUUCGCAGCUCGAUUGGGGAGCACGCUACAGCAUAAUUAAUGGGAUUGCCAGAGGACUGCUUUAUCUUCAUGAGGAUUCCGUGCCGAAGAUCAUCCAUAGAGAUCUAAAGCCGAGCAACGUGUUGCUGGACAUCGACAUGGUUGCCAAGAUAUCGGAUUUCGGUAUGGCGAGGAUUUUCUCAGAGAAGCAGAAUGUAGCAAACACCAGAAGAGUUGUCGGGACUUUGUAAGUUAUGUCUCUCCUGCCUCGUAUAAUUUCUAAUAUUUUUCCAUUCAGUUGUUGUCGUUUGCAUCUCUGUCGAGUUUUCUUUUUCCUUUUAGUUCUUAUCGCUAAAAAUAUNNNNNNNNNNNNNNNNNNNNNNNNNNNNNNNNNNNNNNNNNNNNNNNNNNNNNNNNNNNNNNNNNNNNNNNNNNNNNNNNNNNNNNNNNNNNNNNNNNNNNNNNNNNNNNNNNNNNNNNNNNNNNNNNNNNNNNNNNNNNNNNNNNNNNNNNNNNNNNNNNNNNNNNNNNNNNNNNNNNNNNNNNNNNNNNNNNNNNNNNNNNNNNNNNNNNNNNNNNNNNNNNNNNNNNNNNNNNNNNNNNNNNNNNNNNNNNNNNNNNNNNNNNNNNNNNNNNNNNNNNNNNNNNNNNNNNNNNNNNNNNNNNNNNNNNNNNNNNNNNNNNNNNNNNNNNNNNNNNNNNNNNNNNNNNNNNNNNNNNNNNNNNNNNNNNNNNNNNNNNNNNNNNNNNNNNNNNNNNNNNNNNNNNNNNNNNNNNNNNNNNNNNNNNNNNNNNNNNNNNNNNNNNNNNNCACCAAGCGCGCAUCAUCUCUGCUAAAUUAUGUAAAUUUUUUUCUCCUAGCAUACUUGCAUCACGAUUUUAAUUGAAUUGAGCAAGAGUUUUGAAAUCACUUAGAUGACAUAUCACAGUAACAAACAUAUACUAUGUGCAGGCAUGGAUUUUGUGGAACGAAGGGAGAGAGCUUGAAUUCGUGGACCCUUUCCUACUGAAAUCGUUUCCACCGGCUGAUGUGCGUAGAACCAUUCAAAUGGGGCUUUUAUGUGUGCAAAAAGAUCCAGCAGACCGGCCUCUCAUGACGGAUGUGGUGGUUCUUCUCGAAAGUGGACCUGCGGUCCUCUUGCAGCCGAAACAACCUGCAUUUUCAGUCGGGCGAGACAUCCCCUUGGAUAAUAGCCUUUCGAUGCCAGAAAGUUCUUGUACUAACGAUAUUACUGCUUCUAUAAUGUCACCACGGUGAACGGUGGCUAUCGACACCCAAACAUUUGACAUUGCCAUGACUCUCCGGUACAAUGGGAACUAGGUAUAACAAGUACUGUUAAUUCAUGCAGAAAUGGAAAUUCAUGAUCUGUCUUAGCUGUAUGAUAAUAGGCAAAUAUUAAGUAGAGCAUGCAUAGGUUUUUAUGGCAUCCAUGUAAAUGACAACUCCAAUCUUUGUGAAUUUUCGGGAGAAGUACAUUAUCAAUGCCAUAAGUUGUGUACGACGCUCAUUUUGGUGCCAAAAGUUUUCGUUAGAUCAUUUACGUGUCAAAUUGGAGAAAAAACGAUUACUUUGGUGCCACUAGCAAGAGAUUCUGGCCAGAUUAAGUACGUGACUUUUAUAUUUAAAAAAAAAGUCGCAGUGGCUUUAAAACGUCUUUUUCCAUCAUCUUCAAAAAAACGACGUUGUUUUGCUAUUAUACGUGGACAUCCUCACAUAAAUGUUGCCGUAUAGCUUAUGAGGAUUGAAAUUAGGGUUUCCGCCGCUCGCUGCUCGGCCACCGUCGUUCGCUCGCCAUCGCUCAGCCACCGCCACCAUUGUAGUUGCUCAACUAGGUGAACGAGGAGAGAUUGAGAUUGUUACUCAAGCAAGAAGUGGCAGGAAGAAUAAGAAGCGAGGGUAGAGGAAGAGGAGGAAGAAGAGGGGUCGAAGGUGUCGUUGGUGCACUGUUGUUGGUGGUGGUGUUGGUGCCAUUGCUGGCACUGUUGCUGGCGUUGGUCUUCAAGGAAGAAGAAGACAAUGUUCCUUCUCUCUCUCUCUCUCUCUCUCUCUCAAUUUGGGGAUUUAAGGUUUCUAACUUGGGGGAAGACGCAAAAUGGUGUCGUUUUCUUGUUUGGAUGGUUGACUAUACUCUUUGACGAGCCAUGUUGGCUUAAAAAAUUAAUAAAAAAGUAUCACGUCAGAUUUCCCGGCCAAUUUCAUUAACGUUGGCAUGGAAUGAUCGGUUUUUCAAAUUUGUUGGCACUUAAGUGAUUCAACGGAAAUUUUUGACAUUAAAGUGAGCACCGUACAUAAGUUUUGGUACUGAUAGUGUACUUCUCUCUGAAUUUUCUGUACAUCGACAUUAACAUCUUGUUCAUUAAAUUGAUUGGGUCUAAAAAAGAAUGAUGAUGGUCCUAACUAGAUGAGCAGCCGCCUUCAUGUGUAUAGGCAUGGUCGUAAGAUAAACACCUUACAAUAAGAUGGCAUAUUGGCAUAUGCAUAAUCUUUCAAAUUUUUCAAAGAAAGUUUUUUGUUUUUUGAAGUCGAGACAAAUGGGCUCUAAACACUACAGGAUUAAUUUUUGCUCAACAAAAAUCUCUUGGUCAAACAAGUCACGAGCAACCCAAAUGGCUUGUAUAAUCAAAGUCCUGCAAAGUCUCACCAUAUCUUGUUAUACCAUUUGAUUUUAUCCGGUUAUAAUUUCCCACUUCCUCCAAAAAUAACUGCAUCACGGAUAUCUAGUUGAUUUGCAUGUAGACUCGUGUUCCAUACAUAGCCAAACUUUAAUCUGAUACUACCCUAUAUAAACAUCUUUUGAAUGUAUCUUCUUAGCCAUCCAAUCAAAACAUGAAUUCUUGCUUCACCAUCUGCCUCUCUCUCUCUCAUCCUCAUCUUCUUCCAAAUUUCUAAGCAUUUACACUUCCACUGCUGAAGCUGCACCAACUUAUUUAUGGCACUAGUGCACAAACACCACCUUCUUCACUCCCAACACCACCUAAGAAACAAAUCUCAACACCCUCCUUUCUUCCCUCUCCUCCGCCGAUGCCCAUGGCUUCGCCAAUGCCACCGCUAGCAAAAACCCACUUGACCUAGUCUACAGGCUAUUCCUCUGCCGGUUGCGUGGCAUUUGUGAGCAAGGAAAUACUCGUGCAUGCCCUGAUGAGAAAGGCUCAAUCACUUGGGACAACAAGCGCAUGUUGCUGUUAAAAUAUGUCUCGAGUUUAAGCCCAAUGCAAAAUUAUGAAUAUUCCGAAUUGGAUAUGUUGCGGAUGUUCGAAAUCGAGCAAAGAAGAUCCGAAGAUCAACUUCCCAAAAUUCGAAUCCGCGUUGGAGAGUUUGGCUGCUAAAAUAGGAAAGUCCAACUUUGACUAGGACUUGGAUUUUUGUUUAAAAUAUACAAAGAUAUGUUUUGGAUAGGAAACAAAAUCCUAUGAGAAGUUGGCAAAAGAAUAAGGGUUUUACUUAUAUAUAGACUUAAGGCCAUGGGUGAUAGGUGUGGAUCACAAAUUGUUUUGAAGCGCCACGUGAGUGCUUGGUGUUCCGCCGUUGAUUGUGAAGAAUUGAUCUUGAAGCGCCGUCUUGUUGUCGAGUGCUUGGGAGGGAUUUUCUUUGUCGUGAAUUACAUCCAAGAAGGUUUAGUGUUAAAGCCAAUUAAAUCUUGUGGUAAGAUUUGCGUGUGAUUCCUUCGUGAGAUUGAGAGAUUAUUUCUUGACGAAUUUUGAGGCUAAACACUGUGUGUGUUAUUGGGUGUAAUUGGGGCUUGGGAAACACCGAGAGAGUGUUUGAGUGACUCGAGUGUGUAAUCUCCUUGUAUCGCUUGAUCUAUAGUGAAAUUCGCUGCUGCUCUCCCCGUGGACGUAGGUCUUUACGACUGAACCACGUAAAUUUGGUGUCCGAUUUAUUUUCUUUUUCUGUCUAUAUUAUUGUUCGAUCGCUCGCCCCAUCGCAACAGUUGCGAUACUUGAACCAAUCAAUUUUCUGCGUUGACCAAGGGAAACCUAGUCUUCGUGUUCAUAAACGUGGUCAACAUCACAAAAUUUAGUAGCUUCACCCAGUUGCUGAAGGACACAACUGAGGAAUUGGCCGAGACGGUGGCGAGGGACAGUCUGGCAAGAGGAGAUCGCAAUAAGGCAGGAGGGAGAGUCCUGGCCCCGAAUUGCAACUUUAGCUUUGGUGUUUUACAAAUUCUAUAAUGGACUGCCUUCUACAAAGCACUGGCACCAGCGCCAAGACUGACGCUUGAACUUGGAGCUACUAGAAGCUAUCAGAUAUCAAAUCAAAUAUUAAAAGUGGGUUACACUUGGAGAUGCAUGUUCCAGCAAACUCUCUAGUAAUAACUUUAUCAUCAACUUUGAAGUGAAAUUGUUACGUCCCGAACCCUGAGCGUGUAUACAUCCCUUGACGGUCAACUUAAAAAUUUGACAUCCUAGGAUGCGUCACUGACCUAUUCUUUUUAUCUUUCAAUUAAGUGCAUGCAAAAGUGAAUUAAUAAACACCUGACCAACAAAAAAUCAUGGGAUAAUAAAAGCACAUCAAACAUUGCCGAGAACAACAUAUUCAUUUUUCAACUGUUACCCUUAGGAAGUUUAAUAGUACAAGCCUUUCUACGGCUACUUCCUAUCGACCCUCUCAAAAACCUUAGGGAUCAGGGUCAUCCUAAACUUCGCUAAUGGCAAGGCAGCUAAAAGGUGUCACAUCUCGCACCCAUCACAUCCACACUCAGCAGAUCUCCACGCUAUGGCCUUGAAAAAUGUUAGCCCACAACGGGGUGAGAUAAAAUCUCAGCAAGUCAAAACCCUAAACCCCAAUUAGGACACAAAUUCGCCUUGAAGGCGAUCCUAAACAUGCACCAUACAGAACUCACAUUCGCCUGGGCGUGUCUCUGCACAUUAAUGCAUCACAUAUACCAAUUGACAUAUCACAAACAUAUUUAAUAAUCGGAACACAUCAAUCUUAUUCUUCAAACAAUCACAUAGGUCCCGAUUAUAAGGUAAAACUGUUAUAACACAUCAUAUACCAUGUCAAAUAAUUUUACCACAUAAUCAGGCACAGCUAUCACAACCACUCAGGUGUGUUCCAGUUAUUACAACUCAUUGGCCACGGCCAACUCAACAGUCGGCGGUCAUCUUGUCACGCCUUGAUCCUCGGGUGUGUGCCCAUCCCGGUUUGGUCGAUUAAAUAAUGACGUCCUACGAUGCAUUGCUGACCCUUUCAUUUUAAUAUGCAUGCGGAAGCAAUUAAUAAAUUCCCAGACAAUAAAACAAUGUAAUAGAAAAGUAUGACCAAUUUUUCCCAAAAGACCUUUUUAUAGUAGGACCAAUUUUUCUCAAAAGACAUUUUUAUAAACACAUAGGUUUAUACACAAAAAAAACUACAAAAAUGAAUAAGCUUUCAACAAAAGAGAAAUGUCCUAGGACUAACUAGUCGGACAUGCUCGUUAAUUCUCCGGGCUUCACCUUCUAAACUUCAGACCUCAGGUCUUUCACCGAUGUCAACUAGGUCCUCCUUAGCUUCUCAAUUUGGUCCUCCAUCCUACAGGUCUGACCUUUUCCCUUCUCUCUCCAGGUUCGCUCGCCGCUAGGCCAUGGCUUCGUCGACGAGUUCCUCUGAUCUUCCUCCUCUUUCCGACCUUGACCUUCCUCCAACCAGAUCUGGAUCCCAGGGUUGGCCGGCUCUCAGACCUCCUUCGAUGUCUCUUGGAGGAAGUGAUUGGAGCUGGCUACCUCGGAUCCCUGCUUGGCCGUGGUUUAGCCUUCCCUCUACACCCUAUUAUUUAUAAGCGAGGGGAAGGUCGGUCGACGAAGGUUCGACCAACAGUCCUUUGCGCACCGAAUGGCAUCCACCGGCCGAACCGGCGUCCCAUCCGUCGAGGUGGCUCUAGCUAGGCCUCCUCGCAUUGAAGAUGUGGGUCACACCCUGAUCCUCAAGCACAUGCCCAUCCCUUUCUGGUCGAUAAAAUUUUGCGAUUUCCCAGGAUGAGUCGCCGACCAUUUCUUUUUAUUGCACAUACGGAAGCGAAAAUAAAAUCCCCUGAUAGUAACCAUCUCGAGAUAGAAAAAGCCGGACAACAGAUUCACAAACAAAACACACAUUUAUAUACACACUGAGUCAUGUACAAGGUCUAGGACCAAAAGACUGCAAAAAAUGGCUUUCCAAAAAGAAGCGUUCCUAACCAACCUACACUUCAGAUCACCUCUUCUCGGCUCCAGGUCCUCCACUCAACGACCUUGAAAAAUUCACGAUGGGGUGAGAUAUAAAUCUCAGCGAAUUUGUGCUCUAAACCUCGAUUAGGAGGGAAAUACGCUCAGAAACGUCCUAAUCACACAAUCACACAAUCAUAGGGACUUAUCUCGCCUUAGAUCCACUCUGCUAGUCAGUACAAUUAGAUACUCGACCAAACAAUUCAAUUUAAUUUAAUUCAACCAUCAAUCAGGCGACUCAUCCGACUCCGUGUCAUCAAUGCCAUCUAUAAACCAUAUCGAUUCAAACGCUACUUGCCUAAGCUGAAAUAGAUAUAUUCAUCCCCAAAGCUGAUGUAUAAAUUUGCUCACCGAAGCUGCUAGAUAAUUUGUGCUCGCCGAAGCUGCUAAACCAACUAUUGCUCAUCGAAGCUGAUGUCUAUAGUGUUCACUGAAGCUGCUAAAGUAUUAUUACUCACCGAAGCUACUAGGAAUCUAUAAUGGUAUUAAUGCUCCCCAAAGCUGAACCACGAUACAUUACUCCUAGCCAAAGAUCUUGUGCUUUACACAUCGAUUCCUCAAUUACAUAUCCAACUUGAUUUGAUUCCACCGUAUUAAAGUGUACCCGAUAAAAAUAAUCGCGUGUGGGUACAUGGUUGGCCUGAGCCAAAAAUAUAAUAAUAUCUUUACUUUGGAAAAUCCCACUAUUUAUACAGAGUUUGAAAAUAUUUUUGGCAUUGUAAACUGACGCCCCGGUAAUUUCUAAUUAAUUAAAGAAUUUAUACAAUUUUAGGAUAAAUUCCCAAAAUUACAACUUAAUUUCAAAUUACACAAUUUAAUAUUCAAUUACAGAAAUUAACCACACCAUUGCAAUCAGCACGAAAUUCCAAUCACCGACUAUCCCGGCCUAAUUUCUGGAAAAUAAUUAUUAAAUAAUUAAUUUCGAAAAUUAAUUAAAUAAAUCAAUUUAAAUUCUAAAAAUACCAACCUAGGCUAAAAUCACUAAAUUAAAUACCAAUACGGGCCCGGAAAAUUCUCAAACCCUUCUAGAUAAAUAACACAUCCUAUCUAGGCCUUGAUAAUUUAAUCUAACCACCUAACAUGCAUGAUUAACUGAUUAAAUCACUAAUAUAAUCUAACUAACCAUCUAAGUCCUAAUUAAAUUAAACUAAACACCUAUUAAAUGUAAUUAGCCUACUAAGAAGAGUUUAGUGCAUAAACUCACUGGUUUAUUGCGGAAACCGGUUUACCGCAACGACAACGCGACGGCGGCUGAAAUCCAAAUUUUCAGUGGCGUCGAUGGACACUCGGGCCGGGCCCAAAAGCCUUGCAAGCCCACAUCAAAUUGCUGGGCUUGAUCUUGGGCUUGGGUUGCGGCUGGGUUGGGGUUGCUUCGCGGGCCCAAGAUGGGCUGAAUUGCUGUAUUAAUGGGCUGGCUUCUUGGGUUGAAACUUGGGCUGUAACUUAAAUGGACAAAGCUGUCGUGGGCUUCAAAAACUAGGCUGCUGGGCUUUGAGAUAUUCACGUGGGCUGAGAUGGGCUGGCCUUGGCUUCGCGGCUUGGGCUGCUGCUUGGUGAAAAUUCGACUGAACUGGGCUGGUCAAUGAACUACACGGCCAAGCGGAGCAAGAACAAAGGAAGGUGGGCUGGGAAUUGGGGGCUCGUUGAAAUGUUGAAGCAGAUGGGCCAUUGAAGAAGUUGCCGGUUCGUGGGAAAUCUUCGGCUUCGCUGGCGUUGUAGGGAAUCGACGGAGGGAGAUGCAAACAUGGGGAAAUGGAGGAACCUGCGGAGGAGUCAAAGCUGGGGUCUCCUUGGAGUUUGCAGUUGACUCGGAGGAGGAUGUAAGAAUUAUUGUGACCCACAUGAUAUGAUUUAUUAUAUGGUUUAAUAAUUAUUGAAAUGCUAUAAAAUAAAUAAUUAUUGGUUACGAGAAGUUGCGACUUUAAUAAACGAAAGGGUAUAUUGCUUUGAUGGAAUACACAUUUUCAAUGAACAUAUAAAUAGAGUGCGGUCCUCUCUCCAUCCACAACGAACAACAAUAACUGAAAGGAAUUUUGUAUUCUCUCAUCCAUCGAUUGAAUACAUUAAGGAAUAGUGGGUUAAGGGAGAGAAAUCAGAUUUCUUCAUUUGGUUCGAGUUCUUUGGAUUUGCUACAACGAUCAUCAUCAAGCGUAGCGCUAUGGAUAAAGCUAUGUCUUCAUCUAAUUGUGAAAAUCAUGAAGAUCAAAAGAUCAUUGUUUACUUUGAAUUUUCGCAUCAAGUAUUAUAUGAAUUGUCUAACAGAGGAAUCCAGGCGUGAGGGACUUUGGUGGAUGGAGAAGUUGGCGCAUGAAGAGAAGUCAACACCAAAAGAUUCUAUGGGACGUUGGUGCCGAUUGUUGACUCGGUGAAGCAAAUCCACGAGGGAUCGGGGUGGGGGUCUUCGUGGCAGAAGAAGAAAGAUCGGUGGAGGAGCAGGCGGUCUUGAUUCGGUGAGGGGAGUAGAGAAGACAAAGAAAAAUGAAAGAAGACCGAAGCGGUUCAAGGAAAGAAAGAAAAUUGGAACCGCGGAGGGGAGGGAAUUGAUCGAGCUGGUGUGCGAAAAGAUGAGGGAGAGAGUGACUUGAGCGUGCGGAGGAAGUUUGGGAAAAGUCUACAAGCUUAUCCCCUUAAUUAAAGGCUUAUCCCCUCCUAAAACCCUCAUGUAUAUCCUUGGUCCUCCAUGAUUAUUUCUAGCACUGUAAUAUCCAAAAAUAAUCCAAUUCUAAGCUCCGAAUUUAAUCAAAUUGAAAUUCAAUUUCCCCUCCAAUUUCUCCAAUUUGAGGUCUGAUUUCGGUGAAGGAAAUCCCGUACAACUUUUUGCAAGUCCCUGAUAUCCAAAGGCUCGGCUUAGAAGUCCAAAUUUCCUUUGACUUAGCCCAUCCGAAUUUACCUUAAUUUUCCCGUAACGUCUGAAUCGAUUUUCCGUAAAAAUCUCGGAAUUUCUGAAAAUUCCUUGGAGGAUGAGUUGACGUCCCUAAAAUAGAUCGUGAUAUGACAAAACUUUCAAUUUUUGAAAUCGGGUUUAAUUUCGCGGUUAGUUUCAAUUUGACGCGAUUUUAGCAUGACCUAGUCUACUGGGUAGGUUUUAGGAAUUUUUGAUACAAUUGACCCGUGAUCGAUUUAUCUCGAGUCACAAUGUUCAUCUUCGACUUAUUGGCGAUUAUCGGUUGUCGUGAAAAUAUUGAGAUUUCAAAUACAGACACCGGGUACCAAAACAACAGAAAUUAGGUAGAAUUUUGUAAUUAGGUAGAAUCACCUACACACUAAUCACAUAUCUCUAUCGAAUCGACUUAUCUCCGGUUUCUGAUCGAUUUUUUGACGAUGCCGUUGUGACCCUUGCAAAUUAGCAUGGUCGAGCAGUCGAUUCCUAGUCGAAUUCUCAAGUCUAUUGUAUUUAGAUUCCUUAAUGGCUUCACCUGAUAGGCUAGUUAUCUUGUGAGUGACCAACUCAGGGAAUAGAACUAUCGGCGUGUCGAUGAAAUGCCCGAUUUAUUUAAUUGAAAAAAAAAAUCUGGAAAUUCAAGAUGUCACAAAGUGUCCCUUCCGCCUACAGCGUCGUACGUCGCCAUCCUCUCCCGCCUUCCGGCAUCGUGCACGUCUGGGCCCUGGAGGGUCCGCGCAAGGACCCAGCCCCGAUGGGCUGCCUCUUUUUGUUUGUUGUUUAUUAUUAUUGUUAUUUUUAUUAUUAACUUAUCCAAAAAAUUAAAAAUAAGGAUUAAAUGAGUGAUUAAGACUUAAUUUAAAAGCUUAAUUAAAAGUUAGGUGUCAACAGCUACGUCCUAAUAAUUUAGGUAUGCUACUUGACUUUGAAUUCCUAAAAGUAUUAUUUAUUUAUACCCCUCUACUUGUGUUUUCUUUUGAGUCUUCUCAUGUGGCAAUUUUCUAAUCCUAACUAACCAAUAGGAUGCUUCGACGCAUUUCCAUACCAUUCCCACUCAAGACCAGAACGGAAGUCUUGGUCUUCUAUCAGGCUUCAUUGUAAAAUACUUGCAUUGACCCGAUUUGCAAUGGACCGAGUUCAUCAGUGGCCUACUUAUGAAUUCGUUGUACUUUGUGGGGAGGGUAUCAAAUCUUGAUUGUGCGCCUAAUCCCAACGCAAAUCUGUUUCUUAACCCCUGCCUUGUGGGGAGGGUUUGUGCCAUUACCUACAAAUGCCAGUCUCAAAAACCAAACAAACCAUGAAGUGUGAAGGUUGUGCUUUCUUCCGGAAUCCUGCCGAUGGCUUGAAUCAAUGACUCUGUAGAGAGGUGAUAACUCAGAAUUGGAGUACACUUAAGAAAUGAUCACCUUGUUUCGUUCUCGGGUGGUCUCGAGCACCGUCCUACUGCUUUUUUUUAAUUGUCUUCUUCAUGGAAUCAGUGGCUCCUUUUGUGCAUAUUGACGAAUAUUACUAGUUGCAUUGUGCAAUGUUGGUCCGUUACAUCUUUCUUCUUUGUAAUUCCCAGUUGGUGUUUAGCAUUAGAAAUGAUCGGAUGACAAAACUUGCAGGCUUGGCAACUAUGGAAUGAAGGAAGAGCAAUGGAGUUGAUGGAUCCAUUGCUGCACAAUGACUGUUGUCCAGGAGAAUUCCUGAAAUGUGUCCAAGCCGGACUUUUGUGUGUUCAAGAAGACGCGUUUGACAGGCCAACCAUGUCGGCUGUCAAUGUGAUGCUCAAAAGGGAUGCUGUAAUUCUCCGUCAACCUUUCAAACCUGCCUUCUCGGUCGGCAGAUUCACUCAUCAUUCCAAUGGACAUGUUGAAGACGAUAAUAUUUCCGUUAAUAGCUUGACAGUUUCCGCUGUGGCACCUCGGUGAGAAAAGUCUACCCUAGGAGAUAAGCACGGUUCUUUGCCCAAGUAUACUGCUUGGACAUGGUAACGUCUACACUAGUUACUCAUUAAAGAACCGAUUCUGAACCAUAAGCUGUUUAAUCAUGUGAUGUUGUCUAUCUUGGCUUGGAAGACUUCACGUUGAGGACCUUAUCAUUCUCCAACCUUCCUCGUUGAUUUUUGCGGCUCUUGAGCUGGAAAUUAAAGCUCCUUAUGUGAAUCCAUAUUCUCCUAGCAUAAGACGGAAAAAAGAGAGAGAGUUAGUCUAUGCCCUAGAUAAGGUUAUCUCAUUGUACUAUGAGUUCUCACUGAACUAUGUCCAAUCUUUGUGCGGUUUAUCUAUCCUCUCUAUUUGUAGAGUCAAUAUCAUCAUUAGGAUUUUUAGUCAUUCUGUCUUUUGUUAUAUAUGCAAUCAAC
rnacentral:lncRNA from 1 species